rnacentral:lncRNA from 1 species
GCAUUGAUAAUAAUUAGUCUCUGUGAAAUACGACCUUGCUUGCUACUGUACACAAUUGCACCCGUACACUAGCGGCGUGUCAAAUAAAAUAGCGAACAGGGAAAUAGAGCUAAGGCGUGAGGUUUAGCUUUCGAAAAAAUUGCGAGCUCAUCGAUCUCCGUUGUACCGGUUCAUCAAAUCAUUUUUCCAAUUUCCGGCGAUAUCACUGUCGGAUCCCGAUCAGACCAGAUUCACAAACCCCAAAGAUUUCCCAAUUUUCACCGCCAAAAUCCCCUAAUCAUCUCCAAUCGAAUUCCUUAGUACAGGUAACUGUUCAUCAGUUAAAUUUUUUGGAUUCAAUGUUCCAGAAUCUGCCCCAUUUUUUCUCUAAAAAUACUCCGAUCGAGAAAUGGGAAAUCCUCUAGAUCCGAUCCAAAAUGUGGCAAAAGGAAAUACAUCCGGCAAUGCUGGCCCCUUUUAUCUCGGUCUGAAAAUCUCAAAAUCCUAAUCGAAAAUAUCCUUAGGGGAAUGCAAGAAUUUCUGCCCAAAUCAAGAAAAACCCCCAAUUCCUAAAAUCUGGGCUCAUUCUUCAAAGAUUCUCUACCGCAGCAGCCCCCAACUUCCGGCAGGGACGUGUGCGGUUGAAAUCGAAGUUCCAACACAGACCGUCACUGUCUCUUGAAGAACCUCAAAGAAUCAUACCCCAAAAAUCCAAAAACUCCAAAACAGAUCCGCUGCAAAAUCAAUUCUCCUGGAGCCAAAUCGAAGUUACAGCGAUCCCGGCGAGUCCGCCGACACAGCACCUCGCGCUGCACGGCUCCGCUGCGGGUCAAGGGCGUGAUUCAUUGGAUCUCCCAAAUUCACGACUGAGCCUUCAACUCUCUCUCUCUCUCAAUAAUUUUAUUUGAAUUUUCUUACAACUGAGGACAUCGUAACUAACCGAUGGCUCUCCUUCUCGAUGAUGUUCGAGGUUUGCAGAGCCCGCGCUAUUGGGAAUUGGGGAGUCUCAUAAAUCGGGCCCUAAAGCUUCUCAGUCACUGAACUUUCAACACAACCCAGGAACCUUUAUUCAAGGUUCGAGCGUAGGUCAGAGUGUGUGGGCCUUAGUCUUCAAUUCCGGCCAGAAGAAGGUGGGUUCGGCAACGGAUCGGGGUCUCAUGCCAGCUGAGUUUAUGAGUGCGGUGCUGAAUAUCAUCUGCUCUAGCUGCCGCAGCAGAAUAGCAGUCUCCCUGACACUGAUCGCCUGGGCACACAACAAUUCUCUAUCCUAAAUUGCAAAUUUCGGCCGUUAGUCGGUGGCUCUCUGAUCUGUUGCUUUGAGUUUCCGGAUCCUAUCUGAUCAAUGGUGGUGAUGGCUGAUCUUGACAGCUCUCUGUUCCUGCUUCGCGCAGCCUACAUCAGGGGAAAAUCGAAGAAGAUCUAUGGGCGUUUCACAGUCGCAGUUAUGACCAAGCCACUUGAUUACUGGCCCAAUUUGAUUGGGAAGACAUCAAUUUAUCAAAGAUUUCAUUCUUCUAUUUUGUGCUGCUUAUCUUGCUUGGAUUUUCUUGUAAUCCUAUCUGAUCCGCUGUGCAAAGGUACAGCAAUGCCUGAGGCAGGGGGUAGGGCUUGAUCUCCUCGAGGAAUUGUUGAUUGAUAACAUGGAGCUCAGCGAAAUAUUAUCCGAGCACGGCGGCGAUAUGGAGUCGAAGAGUAAGUAUAGCUUCCAUCAUAAAAAUGGGAAGACGAGGUCUGCUAUUUGAUUUUGGAAAUUGUGUGCGGGAUAUGCUGGUAAUUGUUUACUCGAGAGAUUAUAUGAUUCGUGAUGUUUUAGUGGUCCUAGCAAAGAUCAAAGACUUAAAUAUCGAGCUUUGUGUAGUCUUCUGCCUGGGGCUUAGAUGAACAUAUUGAUGCAUCAGAAUGCUUGAGUUCUCCAAGUUUAGUAUGCCUAGUUAAUGGUUAACAGUUGUGUGUGAUGUGAAAAUCAUUUAAGAUGUUUGUCAAUUGCUAUUAACAAGCUUGCAUGUUUUAGCUAAUGGUUGAACAUAUACUACAAUUAUAUGUGUUUGAUUUAAAUUUUUGACUAUGCUGUCGCGUGUGGUAAUCAAUUGGCCUUAGUUUUGUUCCUUUUAAAAAAGGAUAAUGAUCGAAGAUUUUAUUAUAUUCGCAUGAUUUGAUUUAGUUCAAUCAUACCGCUUGGACUUGUGAAGCAAAAAUGUCUUUGUAGACAAUUUGAAUUUGAUUAUAGGGUCAAAAUUUAAAAUACCCACCUCUAUAACUUAUCUAUCAAAAAUACCCAUUUUCAUAAAAUAUAUAUCAAACCUAUCCAAACUACCCUUUAACAAAUCCUCUUAGUAAUUCAUCAUAAUACAAUUUCAUGUUCAAAUCGAAAAUAGUCGGUGAAGACUUAUCAGGCCUAACAUGCUUCCGUGAUAAUUCAAAAUUAAUCUAAACAUAAACCAACAUUAUACCUUUAGUCGGAUGGUCUUCUUCAGGAGUUAGUGCUUGUUGCGUUUUACGGACCGUCUGCCCCCAAGGCUCCGUCCAACCACGCGCUCGCAAGGGAUGGUUGCAACCUUCUUCCUUCACUAAGUUCCGACUUAUAAUAUUUUGUUGGAAAAUUUUCUACUAAACUGGAAAGUUGAGCAAAAACAAAGUUCCGAAUUAUAAACUAUUUAAUUUAUUUCAUAAAAUCUUCCUCAGGGAGGAGACAAACUUGUCUAGCUACUCAUUAGUAGCUAAUACUUGUAUACAUAAAAUUAAAAAAAACUAAAACUAAAACUAAACUUUGAAAACUAAAAAUUUAAAUUACAAUGAUAGAUUUCUAGAGAGAGGUGUGUUGUUGAAGUUUUAAAUUUUUCGUGGAUCCUUCUUCUCUCCAGAGCUUGUGGUUUUAUAGAGGUUGAUCCCUCUAUAAGUCUUGGUGGUGCCUGGAUUCUUUCACGAGGCCAGCUCAUGGAUUGUGACUGCCACCUUCCUUUGUCGGUAUGAUUGCCGACACAGCUAGUGCCUUCACAUGAGCUGACUUCCUUUUAUCUUUUAUGAUAAUUUUGGUGUGACCAGCUGCUUUUCUUUCCACUCAACUUGUCUUCUGCCUUUUGGUAGUGAUUUCCUUAGAAUUACCCAUUUUUUUAUCUAGUGGGUAAUCAAUCUGCAUUCUUUUCCACCCACUUUUGUCGUUUUUCUUUAGUGGGUGUCUUGUCCCGAGUCACAUGAUCUCUUUUCUUGUCGGGCUUCUUAUUUUUUGGUGCGCGAGGUGUCGUCCACGCGGAGUCUUGUGUUCUUCAUACUCGUCGGACCGGAACUUUUUUUAUCGGUUUGGAAGGAAACCUUGGAAAACUCGGUUCUUUCUGCGUGGGACAUUCCAUGCAGACGUGCUCAUUCCAAUGGCCAAGUGAAUAUUCAGAACUUGCGACGAACCUCUUGCUCCCCGCGAUCUUGUUUUGCCAAAGUGUUACCUUUUUUCUUCAAAGGUUUUUCGGCAUACUUGUAGUAGUUCCUGUCAUGGUGUUUAACAGGAAUGAUCCCAAAUUCGAAUUCUGAGAGAACUUGAAUCUGAUUAACUUUGUCCAUCUCGUGAGACAGACCCAAAUCCCCAUGCUCGCCUUUGGAAAUUGUUCUUCCGUAAAUGUGGCGACAAUAGGACUGAUGGUCAGAGCCUUAUUCGGUUCAAGGCUUGAUUGUCGGGCCGUCGAAGCUUUAUGAAAUGGAAAGCCUCAUGUUGCCCUUUCCUGAGGUUUGGCGCUGCACUAAAGAAAUACAGUUCCAAAACAUCCCCUCUUUGAGGGACUUUGUUUGCCCAGCUCGAGACUGUUUCUUGGAUCCACUUGGUAGACCCUUGAUUUCGUUGAACGCCGGGAAUAGUAUAAACGAGGCCAGUGCCCCAAAUUCAUACAUUCCUUGACAUCUUGUGAUUGGCUCCGGUAGUCAUCCAACUCGAGGAUAUUUUCCCGACAUCAACCCACUAUUUCGGAUUAAUGCCCUUUCUUUGUUAGUUUCUCCCAUCUGGACUGGUAAACCUGCCAAUUGAGAUACUUCAAAAGAUCAGUUAACCUUAGAUUUGCCCGUCAUUGGCCUAAGGUUAAUCUAUCCCUCUUUAACCCCAGAGGUGCGGGUUGACAUGAUGGUUCAGGGUGUGAACCCUUAACAUCAUUUUUCUCUGAGUCUUGCUUGGAAGCCAUAACCUCAGAGCUCGUGCUAGGGGUACUUGAAUCCCCUGCUACAGGUAAUCCCCCUGACGGUAAUACCUUCUUUAAUCAGAGGUUCUCUGAUUGCGCGAAGGAGCGGUCCUUGGGUUGCUUUAUAAGAUUUAUCAUCUUCUUAAGGCAUUCUCGUAUGCGGUCAGACACUUUGGCUUCAUCAGCCGACUGUAUCCUUCCAGCUUGUUUGACAUGGAGUACACACUCUUGCCAUUCUGUUGUAGCAUCUCCAUGUUUUCUUGAGCUGCCUCUGGUUUAUAAUGAUGGCGUCACCUCAGUUGGCUCCAUCCCUUGUUAAAAUCUGCAAGAACAUUAUCAUCAGAUUUCAGAAUGACAAUAUCAAAAUCAUAAUAUUGGCAUUCAGCUUGCCAUCUAAGUAAUCUAGCCUUUUCAGGUUUAGAUUAAUUUUCUUGGUUAAGAAACCUUAACGUUAGUGUUAUCACUUUCAAAAUGAAUUUCUUUGCAAGUAAGAAUAGGGCCAUUUCUUGAACGCCUUUCUGACUGAUAGACUCCUUCUCGUUGAUGUGCCAUCGCACGCCUCACUGUCGGAAAAGAGACCACUACAGUAUCUCAUGGUUCUCUCCAUAAGGGGAUUUUAGUGAGCACGGCUGCCCACAAAAAUCACUGCUCGUGUAUAGGACUAGUUCAUCCUCUCUUGUGGUAUUGAAACUUUGGGAGAUUUUUGCAAAUCUCUUUUAGCUUUUCAUACCCUCCGAUGUCCUCCUUCCAUAGAAUGGAACAUCUUUCUUCAAUAGUGGACUGAAGAUUUUCCUAUGCUCUGCAAGGUUUUUGAUGAACAUCCCUGCAAAGUUUACAACUCCAAGAAAGCUUUGAAGCUGCUUCUUUUCCUUGAGAUCCUCUGGAAAUUUCUGGACCUUUUCCACAUAUGAUCUUGUAGAAUUAUCCAGACUCAUCAUCUAUUCCCAGAAACUCCAUCUUCUGGUUGCACGACUCCUUCUUUUCAGACAGCACCAAUCCUUUUGUUGACAACCUCCGCAAAGAUUUCCAGAUGCUGACAUGUUCAUGAAUUUUUUUGAUGCAAUAAGAUUCAUCAAUAUAAACAAACAUGAAUGAAGAAUAAUCUUAAAAAGAUUAUCCAUCUUCUUUGGAAUAUCUGAGGCGCGUUGCUAGCCCCAUUGGCAUGACAUUCCAGACAUAGUGUCCUUGUGGAGUUGAGAAUGUGUGAACUUCUUACUCCUCCUCCAUCGAAUCUGGUAAAAUCAGAUUUGCAGUCAAACUUUGAGAAUACUUUGCACUUCUGAUGCAGUUGAUAGGUGUUCUUCUGGGAUAAAAUAUCUCGAACUCAAGAAUGUCAUUAAUUCCUUUGUAAUUAAUGACCAAUCGGCUUUCUCGUUUGAUCUCCCCAUGAUUUCUACCAGAAAUCCAGAUGCUGUAAGGCGAUUCCCUGGUUCGAUCAACUUAAAUCAAGGUUUCCUUAUUAUGUCCUCAUAUCCUGCUGAUCUUGGUGUUCAUCAGGAUAGGUCUGAACCUUACAACUCAUCUCCUUUCCAGUUUUAACUUUUAAUGUAGCUUUGAGCUGGUUCUUGUCCCACCAUGCCAAAGGAUCCUCGUGAUAACACUUUUGGAUUCCCUUUUGACGUCGGCUAUGGACACUUUCUUCUCCCUAAUAUCUUUGUUGAUAUAAGGAAACUUUGAGGAUUGUGUUUCUUCUGGAGAGAUCUGAAAUCCCUCGGCUCUGCAUUUGAGCAGAACAUCUCUGAAUCUCUUGAUCUUCAUUUGUGGUCUCGAGUCUGCCAUCAUCACCACUCUUGUUGUGGAAUUUGACUGGCAUCGAUCGAUUAAAAGCUCCUUCGAGCCUUUGUACAAUGAUUUUGUGAUCACAAUUGAUUGUGAACACAAGCCGCCUGGCUUCAUUGUCCUGUGUAUAUCUUUUGAAAGUUUGCAGAAAAUUGUUGCCGAACAAAAUAUCUGCUCCUAUAUCAUAGAAAUAAAUAGGUGGAGUUUGAACCUUGUACCAAGGUGUUUGUCCUGCUCUGUCGAUCAAUAUUUUUGUCUGUUUUACUCCCUUUGAUAAGAGCAAAAUCUUUUUCGAGAAAUCCCUUCCCGUAAUUCGAGGUAGUUCUUCUUCAACUUCUGCUGGAAAGACUCCUCGUUUUGCUGUACAGAUUCCUGCUCCUGAAUCAAUAUAAGCAGCAAAAUAUUCUGCUUUGAACUUCUCGUAUAACAUCCCUACAGAGAUGUAUAUCGAGAAUGAACUCGUCAUUAGAUCAACAACCUUUUUCCACCGAUUGUGAUCUCCAUUCCACUUGCUUUCCUUGACCAUGGUUGAUAAUUGUCAAGGAAAUUCUGUCCUAAGAUCAAGACGUCAGCUUCUUGUCCGGCUUUGCCUUUGACUUAGAUUUCAAAGCCUCCAAUCUCCAGAAAUCUGAUAUAUCGAUUGCUUUCUGGAUUCGUCAAAUAAUACAAUGUGUCGCAAGGAAACUGAUUUUUCCUUUCGAUUGUAUCAAACUUGGUGAAAACCGCUCUCCAUCCUUUGGGGCAUUUGAGUUUUACUCUUAUGCCUUGAGCUGGUAUUUCCUGGAUCGUCUUUCUCUCGUCGGAAUGAGAGAAACUUUUUUCUAAAGGCCUUGAGGUCAGCCUAUCUCCUUGGAACGAUAGCCUUGGUGCUCCCAAUUUGAGACUUUGAUUAUGUCUCAGCACCUGCUUAUCUCCAACUUAGAUGUCAAUUUCCUUUAUUAUGGGAAUUUCAACUCGGUCAGGACUUACUGCCUUGGCCACUUCUUUGAAUAUUUCUGAGACUUCAAUAAAAUUCUUCCCCAUAAAUAGAUCCGUGUGAUGGAAAUUUGAUAGGACAUACGAUACUUGAUAUGUAAUCGAGUAUGGCCUAUUUCUUCCCGUCAAUAGAUAUUUCCUCGUGUAGUCCUGGUAGAGUGUCAGGGCUCGAAUGAAGGAUGAAUCUUGAAGAUUAUAAGCGAUCUGUGGAUAUAAUUCUGUUAUAAUCUUCUUGGCGUAGAGAUUGCCUGAGAAGGCUCCCAGUACUGCAUCUGUUGGAUUUGUAAUCCUCUUGUUACAUAUUGCAAUAUCAAUUGGUGUAUAUGUCAUUGGUUGAAGUACGGACUUGAUUACCAAUUGGAUUGCUCCAAUAUGAAUCCAUUUCAUCGUUUUAGCGACUUCUGGCUUCAUUUUUGAGAGAUCCCUCCGCACAUCUUCAGUUGGAAUUAAUUGGAUCUCUACCUGGUUGUUUGUUAUCUCAAUUAUAAGCGCCAGCUCUCGACUCGUUGUGCCGAAGAAGACAUGAUGCUUCAUUUUGAGGAUAUAUCUUCGAACUGAUAUACGGGUAUCAGUUCCUAGUUAUAGAGGGCGUCUUCGAUAUCCGGUGUGGAUUCGAAUCUUCUUAUCUCUCUUUUCUCAUUGUCAGGGCAAUUGGUAGAAAUAUGCCCUUUUGCACCGCAUGUCCAACAGUUGGAAUCUUUGAAACUUUCAUUUAUUUUGGCUUGGGUACGCCUGGAAGUUUUUCUCGCUGGGAUUCGCUUUUGAGAUAAAAAUCGGCUCCUCGCUGGUCCGCUCCGUUGGCCUGAUUUGUAGGAGCAUGCCUUUUGUCUGGUCCACAUAGUUCUUGGUUUCCAAGAACUUCGCCUUAUUCUUGGUCUUUUUUCAUAGGGUUGAUACCUAUGUUUCUUCUUUCUCUUUUGUUGAUACAGCAACUCGGCUCCAAUCUCUGUUGAAAGGUCAAGAUUGUUGCACAUCAAUGGAGAUUCUUUAUUGAGCCUCCUCAAUUUCUUGAGAUUUCUCUGGUUCGCCCCCUUCUGCCACCAUUCGGACAGCUUCUUGUAAACAUAGGACAUCCUUCUUGAUGCACUAUCAAAUGGAUAUUCUCCUAGUGAUACAUACUCGUUGAUGAGCAUUUCUCUCCAUGGACUUGGAAACUUUGUAAAAAAGAGGUCCCUGGCUGUCUGAUCAUCAACUAACCCUAUAUGAACAUAUAGCGCAUAUAGACGCAAAAAUUCAUCAAGAGCUUUUGGCUCUAGCACCACCAAUCUUAGAUUGUAAAGUGCCUGUCGAUANUCCAAUCUCUGUUGGAAGAUAAAAGUUGUUGCACAUCAAUGGAGAUUCUUUAUUGAGUCUCCUCAAUUUCUUGAGAUUUCUCUGGUCCGUCGCCUUCUGGCACUAUUCGGACAGUUUUUUGUGGACAUAUGACAUCCUUCUUGAUGCACUAUCAAGUGGAUAAUCUCCUGGUGACACGUACUCGUUGAUGAGCAUCUCCCUCCAUGGACUCGGAAACUUUGUGAAAAAGAGGUCCCUGGCGGUUUGAUCAUCAACUAACCCUAUAUGAGUAUAUAGGGCAUAUAGGCGCAGAAAUUCAUCGAGAGCUUUUGGCUCCAGCACUACCAAUCUUAGAUUGUAAAGUGCUUGUCGAUAUUUUUUGCGCUUCUCCUCUGCUGAUGCUUCAAAGAAACCCAUUCCAAGAAAAUGGAUUUUAACCUGGUGUGCGGCAUUUUCGAGGAUCUCCAGAGCUGAUUCCUUAUUGAAUAACUCAUUCUUGCCCUCCGUUGAUGCCUUAUCCCAAAAUUGUUUUGCCAUUCCAGCAAAACUUGCCUCGAAGAUUUUGAUAAAUUCAUCUUUAUCAUAUUCUAUCGUGGCAAUCACAACCUUCAUAGCUGAAGCCCAGUCGUCGAUGAGAACUUCCCAAUCUUUAAAGCUGGCUUCAUCGAGGUUGAGAAUCAAUCCAUAGGGGUGGAUUGGUUCAAGUGUGGCCUUCCCUACAGGGGUAUCCUGCAUCUUGGGCCGGCGUCUUCUGGUUCGUUGAUAAUGGCUCGAUUCCUCACGAGCACCCUUUCUCCUUUGGAUGAUUCUUCUUGUGGAUGCUCUGUUUUGGGCACCUCACCUCCUUGGUUCAUCUUUAGAUCUACCAUAUUUAAGUUAGCAAAUGAUUCUGCUAACUCUUGUAGAUCUUCUAAUCCGAUUCGAUCAAGGUUAUUCAUGUUUUUUUCCUUUCACGAUUCGAAUUAUAUCCUCCGGCUGCAACUCCUUGGGCGCUGCAUUAAGUGGUAGUGGAUACGUCGGGUCUUUGGACCAUGUAUUCCGAAGUCUUCCGGAACAUGGUUUCCGCCGUUCGAUGUCUUCCACCUUCUUCUGGAUAUCACGCAAGAGUUUUAAGAUUUCCUCUUGUUUGAGUGAUAUCUGGCUCAUCUCCAUCGGUAGAUUAUAUAGCUUGAUGCCAUAAUAUUCCACCGUUCUUUGGAUCUCCCGCAAGUUGACAUUGUCGGAAGAGUUUGGUUCGAUCUUUUGAUAAGCUGGAAAAGCUGUUCCAGCUUUGUCCUUCUGCUCCAUUAGUCGUGGGACUGAUGGGCGUCAUCUCUUGUUCGUUCAAUCGCCAUUCUGAUUCCGACGAUUCCCAACAGGUGUUCAUGGUAGGAUUGAAUACCCGUGAUAAUGUCACGAAUAUUCUCGACAUCUUCUCCUCGCCGAAUGUUGGUUACGAGGGCUCGAUUGUUCCAGUUAAGCUCGUCUAUUAGACAAGUGGUUUCUCUCUCCAAAUUUUGAAGAGAAUUCCUGUAUGGUACACAUCUCGGACAAUCGUCCGGAUCCAUAAUUUUUUAAUGGAGUCUCCUCCCACACAUAGGUUAAUUAUAAAAUAAAUUAAAUAUAAAAUAAUCUCCUCUAUAAAAACCCGCUCUGAUACCAAUUUUGAAAGCGCGGAUUAAUAUAUAAGAUGAAGUAUUAAGAGAGAUAUAGUAUAAGGGUAUGAAUGGUAUUUCACUAUGAAGUGGGUAUUUUUCAUAGAUAUUUUAUAAGGGUGGGUAGAUUUGAUUGAUAUAUUAUGAAAGUGGGUAUUAAAAUUAUUUAACCCUUUUUAAAAUAUCCAAAUUAAAAUAGUAAAAAUAAAAAGUAUCCUUGUAUAUAAAAAUCAUUAAAAAAAAGUCCUACUGAGUAAAAUCCCACUAACUAUUUUACUCCUACAAUCUACAAUUAACUUUUGACCUUAUUGUGAAUUCUAGCUUUAAAACUCGAAUUCACAACUAAGACUAUGAAUUAUAAUUUGGGUAAAUAUCACUUUUUGGCCCAUCAUUUGGGCGUUUUCUCAACUAUAUCUCACCCUAAGCAUAUUUACAAAACAAUACCCAUCGUUUCAAUUUUUUUUUCUUAUUUGUGGCCCGUAAAUUUUUUUUGGCUACCGGUAAAUGACGUGUUCCGGCCAAGUGCCAUGUAACUAUUAUACGUCAACAUUAAAAAAAAAAAGGUGGUGAGUUCAAUAAUUUCACCUUUAGAUCAUUAGUAAAAGGAUUCACCUGCAGUGUGUUGGUAAAUCGGUAGAGAUAGAACGAGAACAAUAAAUGCGAGAGAAUAGAGGAUUGUAUUAAAGUUUGAAUUGCAUGUAUUAACAAUGACAAGCAUAUCUUCUAUUUAUAGACGUCCAAUACAAGAGCAGAGUAGUAAUUGUACAAUUGAAAGUGACCCUAGCGGUUAGAGAGAAUCUUUCUGAGGUCGUUAUCAGCCGUUGGGAGUUGCCCACCUUUUCCAGUGCUGCGUCUAUUUUCCAGCUCUGAGACGCCCCUCCUGGCUGUGUCAGCUCUGAUCAAGUUCACAGCAUUGCUCCUUCCCUUUUUACAUCAGCCCUGUCACACAUAGUACCUGAAUUCUCCCGAAAUGGCCCUACUGCUUCUAUCCUUUACGUUUUCCCUGAUUUGUACUAUUCAGACCCUUAGUUCUGCCUUUGUACCCAGCGCUGAGGAUCCCAAUGCUAAUAGAUUUGUGUCACGCAUGUUUUACUCCUCAUCAGCUACUCCCCCUAGUCUGAUUGAGCGUUCUUGUUGCUUACGCUAAAUCAGUUCCUGUAUUUCUUCUUUUCGUGUCCAGGACUGCCAUUUUUCCUCUGUCGCGCAUUAAAUGCCUGCCAGUUGAGUGGGGCCCAACUCAUCUAAUCAACCGUCCUUCUUCAGAAAAGGCGCCUCUUCAGUUGCAACUUCCGUUUGAAAACGCCACGUGUCGCUCCCCAACUGGACCGGAGAAAACCUCGUUCUCUGCGCCGCCCUUAACAUAUAAAAGACCCUUCAUCUGCCUCAUUCUUCCAUUUUCGGCCAUUUUCAACUUUCUUCCGCUGCCUUCGAUCGUUCUAUGCUUCCACCGUUCGCUCGACGAUUCCUCGACAUUUUUCGAUCUUUGCUUACCCCCUUUGCAUUCCCGUGGCCAGACUUAGGUAUUGUUUCCCUCUUCUUCUCCUUGGGUUGUGUAUUUAUGGAAAUCUAGUGUCGUUCCCUCUAUUUCCGGCAGAGUAAUAAGUAGAAUUUUACCUUUAGAAACUUGUAGAUAUGUCUUCUUAUUCCGUUCCUACCUCAGUCAUGACUUUUAGGGAGAUGAAAAGGCUAGAAAAAGCUUUGCGGGGUCCUAUUCCCGGUUUAACCUUCUGCUUGCCGGACAAUAAGUCUCUAGAAGGUCCCUUCAACUUGAGAAAGAACAGCAUCCUUCUUUGGGAACAACAGGUGGCCGCCGGGCUGCGCUUACCCCCGCCCCCAUUUCUCGUGUCCAUCUGCAACCAUUUCUGCAUUCCCUUCUACCAGCUCGCUCCUUCAGCCCUACGGCGAGCCUUUUUCUUUCACAUAUUAGUGAAAUACCACGGCUGCCGAGAUACGGCAGAAUUGUUUUGCCAUCCUUAAGAAAAUCAAUACCCACUAUAGCUUUUCCACCAAUAAAAAAUAUAAAACUACUUUUAUGAGUAAGCUGCCCUCCACGGAUAAAAAUUUUGUGAAUAAAUAUUGCAUAGUCUCUACUGAUAAAGGGACCUGGCGUGCCUUUGCCGAGGUUACGAGUGUGAUCUGGAACCCGGAAAGGCACACUCAGCCACUUCCCACUCUACCCCCUUCUUCAAAUCGGGACUUAGAGAUUUUCGAUCGGCUCAACGCCUUUCACUCUAAACAAUCCUUUCCUGCUCGGCGCUUAGUAGAGAACAACUCAGUGCUGGUAGCAAACGGGCUGUUUGCCCGUUUCCCCAACUCCCGCAUAGGUAAUUUACCUGUCGUGUGUCUUUUUCCAUUUUUUCUCUUCUCUUCCUUUUUUUUUAAGUAUGCUUGAGGUUAACCCUUCUCUCACUCGUUUCAGCAAUGGACUGGAUGGUUGAUUGCGAGGGUCUUCUUCCAGAUCCAACAACCAAAGGUAAAGCCAGGACUGGGACUCCCAGGGCUGAAUCCCUUCGGGAUAGCACCCCUCGGGCUACCCCUUCAGAAGCUGACACGUCUAAGACAGUCAGUGAUGCCCCAGAGUUCGGGGGCCCAACAGAGCUCCCAUCCUCCAUCAACAUUCCCUUGACUGAGGGUUUUUCUUCAGUUCCGGUUACGUACACAUCCUUCCACCCCAGUCCGCGCCGCCCUAGCCCUGUUCUGGAGCAAGUUACUACCAUCUCCACCGUCCACACGGGAAUUAGAGAUGAGGAAGAGGAAGAGCUGGUCGAUGAUGAAAUAGAAGUNNNNNNNNNNNNNNNNNNNNNNNNNNNNNNNNNNNNNNNNNNNNNNNNNNNNNNNNNNNNNNNNNNNNNNNNNNNNNNNNNNNNNNNNNNNNNNNNNNNNNNNNNNNNNNNNNNNNNNNNNNNNNNNNNNNNNNNNNNNNNNNNNNNNNNNNNNNNNNNNNNNNNNNNNNNNNNNNNNNNNNNNNNNNNNNNNNNNNNNNNNNNNNNNNNNNNNNNNNNNNNNNNNNNNNNNNNNNNNNNNNNNNNNNNNNNNNNNNNNNNNNNNNNNNNNNNNNNNNNNNNNNNNNNNNNNNNNNNNNNNNNNNNNNNNNNNNNNNNNNNNNNNNNNNNNNNNNNNNNNNNNNNNNNNNNNNNNNNNNNNNNNNNNNNNNNNNNNNNNNNNNNNNNNNNNNNNNNNNNNNNNNNNNNNNNNNNNNNNNNNNNNNNNNNNNNNNNNNNNNNNNNNNNNNNNNNNNNNNNNNNNNNNNNNNNNNNNNNNNNNNNNNNNNNNNNNNNNNNNNNNNNNNNNNNNNNNNNNNNNNNNNNNNNNNNNNNNNNNNNNNNNNNNNNNNNNNNNNNNNNNGCCGCAGGGGGCAUAGAUGACUGGAGCCACCCUUGAGCUGAUUGUCAAGCUAGACUUGAGGGCCUUGAUGAGGUCUCUGGACAACAACGCUUUAUGCGCGAAAUUAGGGAUAGACCCCAAGGCCCCCGCCAGCCCGGAGUGGUGGUAUCCAGCGUUGGACCGGGCGCCCGUGUACUCCAGCCCUUUUCUCGAGUCCCUUCAGGAAUUUGUGCAAGAUCUUUCUGGGGAUCGGGCUGCGCCUCGGGCCUUUGCCGAGUUUGGGCUAUACCCUGCUCCCCCGGUGGUAUUAGAUUCGACACCCCUUCUACCUCUCGAGCGAAAGUCCUGGAAGAGUUAGCCAAACUCUAUAAGGAUGAGGCCAGCUUCAUGCGUUCUCUGGUUGGGGAUUUGUCAAAGGAUCCGGACCCUUCCCUGACGUUAAUGCCUCCCGGGUCUUGCCUAUUUUCUCCGAGGGCCUUGCUCCUUCUGCUUCCUGCUCCGACCUCUGCCCAGCCUGAAGCCCCUUCCUCAUAGACAACUCUCGGUGCCCUUCUACAAAACAACUGGGCUUAACCCUCAUGGGAUCACAUUCUACCGGGAUGGAGUAAGUGAAGGGCAAUUUAGUCAGGUUCUUCUUCAUGAAAUAGAGGGAAUAAGGGCAGCCUGGAGCUAUAUUUGAAGAAGUUAUUCUCAUCAUUUCACUGCUCUGUGUUUUUUAAUCCAAUACUUAACAUAAAAUAUUUAGAUAUAAAAAUUUAAAAAUAAUACUUAUUCAAUAAAAAUAUUGCAUUUUUAUAUCUCUAGUACUUGCAUAUUAUUACUCCCUCCGUGCCUGAAAAUAGUUGCUUUAUUACUAUAUUGGUACGUCCCUAAAAUUGUGGUAUUUCCUUAUUUGGAAAUGACCCCACAAACUUUUCUUACUAUUUAUAAAAAGUUGUAAGACCCAAUCUCCACUUAAACACAACUACCAUAUUUUUUCUUAAAACACGUGCCAUCUCUUUUGGUCCAUAAUUUUUAGGGACGGAAACCCCUACAAUAUUUCCGAAACCCGAACAUUUUAGGAAUUAGGGGUUGAAAUUUACUAACCCCAAAAAUUUUUUUCAACCCAAAUAGCCCCACACCCAAAUAACCCGUAACCUGAUAGGGCUAGUUCAAAAUCUGAUGGAUUGGCCCGAUUGACAUUCCUACUGGAGCGUAUGGUACGCUCAUGGCCAAAGGAGCGCACCAAAGUUUUUGUCAUGAAUCUUUCUAUUUUUUUAUUUUUUUUUCCUAUCAUCCCUUUAGGCUCAACAACUAAUUAUGUACUUUUGUAUAAUAACUUGUUUUUUAUUUUUAUGUUUGUGAAUAUUUUAAUAUUUGCUAUAUGUGAAUGUAUAGUUUUAUGUAUUGAAUCUAAAAAUGAGAAAAAAUUAUCUUUUUUUAGAAAUUUCUACUUUCUUUAUAUUAUAUUCUCUAGGGUGAAAGUAUAUUGAAAAAUAUUAUCAUAUGAUAUCUCAUGGCAAUAAUAUCAUGAAUUAGAGUAAAGAGUAACAAAUGAACUGUCCAAAAUUCAUUUCCAUUUUAUCCGAAGAAAAUUAUCCACCCUAUAAAAUAUUUUAAUUAAGAAAUAGUGAAUACAUGUGUAUUUAAUUAUUUUAUCCUCUUUUAUCAUUAAAAAUUAAGAAAUAGUGAAUACAUAUGUAUCUAAUUAUUUUAUAUAUCCUCUUUAAUCAUUAAAAAAUUAAGAAAUACUAUAUAUUUAAUUAUUUUAUCCUAAAUUAUCAAUGAACACAAAAGAAAAAAAAGAUAGCCAUUUUUGUAAUCUUUUGGCCUGCCUAAUUCUUUGGCCUAACAGACCCUACUUGACAUAACUUUCUGGCUAAGUAUACCUAAUUGAUAAUUUAUGUUGUUCGAAUUUUAACUAUUGGCAUGCCUCUGCAGUUCCGUGGUAAGAAAAUCUUAUUGCACUCUUUUCUUCUUUUUAGUAUUUAAAUAGCUUCUGAUGCUUAGUAGAUUAAAACAAAAAGGAACUAUAUUUUUGUCUUAUGUAUAGGCAACAAUAUUUCAAAGUACUUUAUGAACAUGUCAUGCUUACUCGCUCCUUAUUCAAUUUCUAAAAGAAAGUAAAUAGAUUUUUUAACUAAAUAUUAAUUGUAUAUAUAUAUAAUAAAAACUAUUUGAUUGCUUAAUUAGCUCGUAAGCACUGAACAAAGUAAUCAUCUCACCCACACACAUUGCACAUACAAACAAAGCACAUGGAUAUCUGAGAGAGAGAGAGAGAGAGAGGUGAGUGUAUAAGUGCAUAGUAAUUAAUGGUGAGUAAAGGCAAGUCCCAUGUACAAGUUUGAUGUUUUUUGGUAUUUUUGGUCGAAAACUUUGCUUGGAGAGAGACCAAAUCAAAUGGAAAGUAAUUAUGAUUGCACAAGACAUGCCUCUCAUGGGCCAAUCUCAACUUGUUCAUAAAGUUAUUUAGUUUCAUUGAUAGAGACACCAAAAAAGAGGAAGGUAUUGACUUGAACACAAGCCAACCCCUCGCUAGGGAUAAUCAUUCAAUUCCUUGGCUUCUAACAUAUACACAAAACUUCUAAAAAAAUGAAUUAUUGUUUUACCCAAUACAUACAUGGCUUUUGGGCAAAGCUAAUUAUUCUAGUACAUGGUUCUUUUCCACAACAAAAAAAGGUCAAAGAUAAAGCCUCAACGGAGUCAACAAGAGCACUACUUAGUUACAUUAAUUGGAGAGACGAAGUGGAGAUACCACUAAGUUGCACAAUUUGACAAAGUAGAAAGUGAAAAUGUUGGGUCCUUUUCGCCGGCUCAAUUGUUGUUCGAGACAGUUAAACACAUCUAAAAAGACUUAAUCAAUCCAUGUCCCAUGUAUAACCAUGCCUUUUAAACUUAUGAUUGAUGCCAAAUUUUAUUAUAAUAUAAGUUGAUUUAGAAUUGUUGUUACGUUUUUUUUUAAUUAUUUUAAACAUUUGUUUUGAUUCUAAUUAAUACCUCAGAAAUUGUUAUUGGAGUUAUUAAUUUAUGAAUUACACAAAACAUAAAUUUCGCUUUGUCCUUUUAUUUAUUUUUUUGAAGUUAUAUGAAAAAUGAAUAAAUCAAACUUUGAUUUUUAUGCAAUUUGUAAAAGUAAUGACGUCAUAACAAUUUUUGACGUAUUAUAAUCAAAAUAAAUUAAUGUAUGAAAUAAAUAAAAUAAUGCUAACGUGAACUAAACGUGAGCAAUCCUCACGGUAAGUACAUAUAUAGAAUUAUUCAAAAUGAGUCCAAGUAUUUAUUGUGUAAAAUAUGAACCAUUUUCAGUCAUUAGAGUGUGAAGAUUUAUAUUAGAUGCAUCAUUUUACUGGAUGAAAUCAUGGUUCAGAAUUCCAAUUUCAUAAAUAAUGAAAAUUCUAUGUUUUUUAGUACAUCACUUUUUUACUGCAAAUUUAUAGUGGUUCAUCGGGACUUGGACUCAUUUCAACCACUUAUUAAAUUACUGAAUUGUCUUUAAAAAUUAAAAUAAAUAAAGAUAUUAAUGAAAUGAUCAAAAUCUAUAAGCAUAUAUAAUUACUUUUAUAAUAGUAAUUGAUAAAUACAUUAAUUUAUAUGUAUCGUCUCAUAAUAUUAUCCUUAAAUUAAAUAUUCAAUGAUGAUUAAAUUUUAUAAAAUGAGACUUUUAUAAUAGGCAUAAAUAUACAUAAUGAAAAGAAAAUGCUUAUUUAGAAAAUGUGUAAUUACUAUACAAAAUUUUAAAUAAACUAGCAGAAAAAACAUACUUUGUACGUGUAAUUAAUGUUAUUUUAAUUGGUAGUCUAUUAUUUAAAAAAAUCUAUUAAUUCAUUAUUUUUAUUAUAUAAUUUAUUGGAUGGAUAUAUUUAUUUAUAAGUCUUAUCAAUAGCUAUAUUUUGUAAAUAUAAUACUCCCUCCCAUUUUUUUAUAUAAGUCGUUUUGUGAUUUUAUGAUUUUUGCAAUUUAUUUGACGUUCUGUCACUUCAUUCCACAUAUACCCCAAUUUACUUAAAUGUGUGUUCCCAUUUUCUAUCAUUCCCAAUUAAUAAUUGAUGAAUCUCAUUUCCUCGGAAUUUGAUUUUUUUUUUGGUUUCAAAUUAAUUUAGGGGAGGAUAAUUAAUGACUCGAGUAUUUCAGUAGUUAAAUGAGUUCAUUUUAUUAGGUUUUCUUAAAAUUUUACACCAAAAUCAUGAAUGUGAUUAAGAAUAAAUAAUCAUUUAAUAAGGUUAAUUUAGGUAGAAUAUUUUUUUAUUAAUAAGUGAGCACAAGCAUAAAACGACUUAUAUAAAGAAUUGGAGGGAGUAAUAAAUAUAUAACAGGGGUAAAAUAGACAAUCCACAAAUUGUGUGUUAGAUUACCAUAAGUUCUUUUUCUAUUAAUAUAGAUAAUAUAUUGUUCUCAGGGGAACAUUCAAAUAAUGCAGACCUCGAUUUGUAAAUUUAAUGUUCAAACUUCAUGGCUUCUCCCUUUCUCAAGUCAAAACAUACAAGUAAUAUCACAAAAGUGAAACACUAAUUAUAGAUUAGAAGAUUCGAGGUGGAUAUGGAGACUAAUAGUCAUUUCCUGUUUUCGAUGGAAGCGGUGCGCGAAUGCGUUUUCAUGGUAAAAUAUGAUGAAUGGCUUAGCGCCGUGAAAGGCGCAGUCAAACAUGAAUAGGACAAGUUUGGUUUCAAUAUUUACCUACUAGAUUUCAACUUUAACCGUUCUACACUUACAAACUGAUAAAGAUAGGUUGAUAUAUAAUUAAUUAAGGGAUUGGUUAAUGUGAAAAAGGGGUAAAAUUCGGCUGCUUCAUUAUUACGAAAAUUGGUCAAUGUAAUUUAGGUGUGAACGCCGAGUUAUUAAUCAUUAUGUGACAAAUUAUAUUACAAAAUACAAUUUGAAAGCUAAAUCUUACCGCAUAAUUACCUGGAACUGGAAGCGUCCCAGAAUUUUUCCACUAUGUACAGAGUAGGACCCGCACAAGCCAGGGUAAAGAGGGAAUUUGUUGUUGGAUGCCUCGUAUUAGUCCUAUUGAAAGUUGAGAUUAGGCUCUCAAAAAGGAAAGAAAGUUGAGAUUAAAGUUGACGACAAAUAGAAUUUACCGGAUAAAAUAUUUUUCCUUUAUUUAAUAGGUCAUCUUUAGUGAAUUUGUGGUUUGAUCGCCACUCUUGAAUGGCUCAAAUUGGGCCUAUUGAAAAUUGAAAUUAAGUCCACGAAAAUUUGUACUAAUUCAAUUAAUAAGAUAUUUUUUCUUCAAGAUCAUUUUCAGUAGAUUUAUUGUUCGAUCGCCACUCUUAGUAUUUUUUAAAAAAAGAACAUAAUCUAUCAAGUGUAAAAAUAGGGAAAAAUGUGCAGAUUAGCCCCAGAAGUAGUAGCCCCUAUAGCGUAAAACCCCCCUUAGUCACUGUGUGUGAAACUAAAUCCCUGAACUCCGAGAAAAGGGUGCAAAUUCCCCCCUCUGACCUAACAUCGUUAACAGCCGUUAGUUAACUCUUUUUUUUUUAAUUAACUCUCAUCUUUCUCACUCAGCCCUCUUUCUCUCUCGGCCACUGCACCGCCGCUAACGGUGGUUGAAUCACCAAGUUGUUGGAUCAUCUUUUAUCAGCAACACAAACGAUUAAUCCAAUUCCAAUUCCAAUCAAAUCGACAUUAUAUAGAAAUAGUGAAAAUAAGGAGGUUAUGAUCGUUACAUUGUGAGAGGCGUCAAAUUUGGCAACGGCGCCGACGCCUUGCCAAACAUCACAAACUCGCGAAGCAUCGAGGCGGCUGGCGAUUUGGGGGCGACCUUCGCGCUGUCUUUUGUUGAAGCAAAGCACAGAGGACGACCGCAAGUUUGAGAGAGAGCAGCCGGUGGUGAUGGGGAGCGUGCGCGGCGCUCUUCGUUCGAAAUUCGAGCGAUGGAGGCAGGCCGGUGCUAAGGUUCAAUCCUUCGUCCUCUUCAGAGGAGAAUCGAGCAGGAGGCGGCUCNNNNNNNNNNNNNNNNNNNNNNNNNNNNNNNNNNNNNNNNNNNNNNNNNNNNNNNNNNNNNNNNNNNNNNNNNNNNNNNNNNNNNNNNNNNNNNNNNNNNNNNNNNNNNNNNNNNNNNNNNNNNNNNNNNNNNNNNNNNNNNNNNNNNNNNNNNNNNNNNNNNNNNNNNNNNNNNNNNNNNNNNNNNNNNNNNNNNNNNNNNNNNNNNNNNNNNNNNNNNNNNNNNNNNNNNNNNNNNNNNNNNGAGUGAUGAGAGAUAAUUAAAAAAAAAAGUUGACUAACGGCCGAUAACGGCGUUAGGUCAGAGGGGGGAAUUUGCACCCUUUUCUCAGAGUUCAAGGGUUUAGUUGCACACACAGUUAGUAAGAGGGGUUAUACGCUAUAGGGGCUACUACUUCGGGGGCCAAUCUGCACCUUUUCCCAAUAAUAUUUAAACAAUUUCUACCAACCAACUUUAUCUACUAAUUAUGCAUUCAUCAAUAUUCAUGCUCAAAAGUAAUGAGACAUUUGUAAUGGAACGAAGGAAAUAUUAAUGAAAAAUAGAACAACAAUAAUCUGAUUCAAAAAUCAGAACAUCAAUAAUUUAAUUUAAUUUUUCCUAUAUUUUUAUCCAUUGAACCCCACCCCUACCAAAACGACUCAAACUGCAUAGUGCGCUCAAAUAUGCAUUACAAGACUCAAUAGUGGGAUAGAAUCCAUUCUCCUUAAUCCAAUUGAAACUAUCAGAUGCAUUCCUAAACUUCUUCAGAUGCACAUGAGUCUUGGACAAAGAAUCAAAUACAUGUGAUAAAGAUUCUAUUGGAUUUGUAUACUGAAAGCAAGAACUUUUAUGCUUGUAUACAAUGAUUUUUAAGUUUACGAUUUUAUCUCCGAUCUGAAUUGUCCAUAAUUGCAUAUGUAUAUCCAAUUAUCUCUAUAUAAGUAGAUUAUAUAGUGUGUUUAGAUCACAUAAGACUAUAUAAUUGGAAUAACCUUAUGAGAUAUAAAAUUGAUCACAGUCAAGACGACUCUAGGACGAGUUGUUGUUUUAAACUGCAGUAUAGAUGGAAGUAGUUAGUCUUGACUACUUGCCUUUACUGGUACGUGUAACGUAUUGAUAGGAUCACAGUGAGAUGUAUUCUUCUGUCUGACCUAAGUGAAGAAUCAAGAUCUUGGUGACUUAACGGAACCUAAAUCCUAAUAAGAUUUCAGGUGUAUAUAUAAAUUUGUGUAUCACUUUGAUUUACUAUGGGUGAGAGUUACAUAUUAACUUGAGUACUCUGUAUCUUGGGUGAUAGCAAUUUAUAUAUGACAUUUAGUAAUCUGUAUUAGGCAACCGUAUCCGGUAUAGGAUGAUGACAUCCUCUUACUGAGCUCAAAAGGUUUAUUGCACUAAACCGUGCAGGUUGAUUAAGUUCAGGUGAAAUAAUAAAGUUGAGCGGUACUACUUAAGGAUUAAUAAAAAAUUAAUUAAUAUAAGCGGUCAAAAGCUUUAAUUAAUUAAUGGAUGUUGGAUAUCUUAAAUACGGGUGAUGAGGAUGGAAUCCGGGAUUCCCGUCCUUCUAAAGAAAGGCCCAUAUAAGAUAUGUUAGGCCCAGUCAAGGCCCGAAUAUAAGUCGUACACAAUUAAGAUUAAACUAUUAUAUUUGUAUCACUUUGAUAUUGUUGCAGAACUGAAGCAGCUAUAAAUCCAAAUCCAGCCGAGUCGAGUGUUAUAUUUCAGAGCUGCAUUAAGUCUAAAGAGAGAAGCCAGAUCUAAGGAUGCAAGUCAGAGCUAAAGGAAUAUCGAAGACACGUGGCAGAUUAAUGGGGUUCGGCCAAUGCACUUAUAUUAAUGGGCUUUAGGGUUAAAUUGCCCAAGAACUUUAGGUUAUUUCUUAUGCUUAUAAAUAGGACCUUAGGUUAUGAGUUAGGGGGCUUUAUUCAUUAUUUUUCCUUCACAUUGUAAAAUGUAACCUUCCAAAUAUAGUGAAAAACUUGAUAACCACCCGUAGUCCCGUGGAUGUAGGUCUUAAUGGCCGAAGCACGUAAAUCUUGGUGUCUUUUAUUGUUUUACUUUAUUUUCUGCUGUUGAGAUUUAAACUCAACUCAGCAACGGGGGUUCGAUAAGUCUAAAUACAAGCCCCAACUCAUCAUCGACAAUAAAGGGGUAAGUCAAUAUUGAUUCUCUAGUGGAAUGAAUUAAUAUUUAUGAACUAAUUGUGAUCUAGACUGAUCAUAAGAAUUAAUUCAUUUGAGCCACAUCUUUAUUCCUUGUAUUUGAUCCUUGGGUUGGCCCAAAGACUCGUGAGCUCAGUAGGAGAAAAAUAGCCCAACUCAUAAGUCUGGCUCAUUACUGUAUUUAUAAUUAUACAUACACAACAGCACUCAGAACAGAAACAAGAAUACGUAAUUUCAUAUUACAGUUUUUAGGUUUUCUGUGAGAGGCAACGGCGCCUAUUGAGUGGGAGUUCUUCUCCGAGGAAUCUUCGAAGAUCGUCGUCCAUCCGAGGUCGGAGAUUAAGCGGGAUACAGUCUAGGAGAUCAGAGCUAGAGUAAGAUUUUUGCAAAAAACCAACUUUUGGCAGUCUCUGAAGAACAUCCAUAACUUCCUGUACAGAACUCCGAUUGAGGCGAAACAGGCGUCUACGGAAAAGCUCUUUUGAAGAAGAAGAAGUCGUAUUUUUGGGUAAAAUACGACUGGAGGUCGUUUGAGAGGUCAAACAGAGUGUUGAAGUUCGCUUCUCUAUUCAACUCUGAAUUGAUGAAUUCUUAGGAAUUCUUCAGGUAUUUCCGAACUCCUCGGUGCAGUAUUUAAAUUAAUAGAAGCAUGCUAGGUUUAAUCGAUAUAUGGUGAAUUUAAAUAAUCCAAGAGACGAUCCUCGAACAUAUUGAUUAUUAAUUAAGUUUAAUAUUCCUACAGAUUCACACAUCUUAUAAGAGUAAAUCAAAGCCUCAAAGAAAGAUUUCGGAAAAUUCAAANNNNNNNNNNNNNNNNNNNNNNNNNNNNNNNNNNNNNNNNNNNNNNNNNNNNNNNNNNNNNNNNNNNNNNNNNNNNNNNNNNNNNNNNNNNNNNNNNNNNNNNNNNNNNNNNNNNNNNNNNNNNNNNNNNNNNNNNNNNNNNNNNNNNNNNNNNNNNNNNNNNNNNNNNNNNNNNNNNNNNNNNNNNNNNNNNNNNNNNNNNNNNNNNNNNNNNNNNNNNNNNNNNNNNNNNNNNNNNNNNNNNNNNNNNNNNNNNNNNNNNNNNNNNNNNNNNNNNNNNNNNNNNNNNNNNNNNNNNNNNNNNNNNNNNNNNNNNNNNNNNNNNNNNNNNNNNNNNNNNNNNNNNNNNNNNNNUCAAAAAUAAAUAAUUAAAUCAUAAUCUAUGAAAAGAAUUGUGCCUAUUCCUGGUACGUAGGGAUUAAUAAUCAAGCACUAAAUAAGUUAAGGUAUUGGAUGAGAUGCUACUGUGCGGGGCGGUGAAGAAGCUGGUGGCGCUGCUGCAUGUGGACGGUGGACAGUCGACAACCAAGAGAUUGGGCGCGUGUGAGCUGACAAGGUGCAAGUCGGAUCCGAUGAGUACAAGGGCGGCUAAGCUGAUGCCGGAGGUGGAUUGUCGAAAUUAAAAAAAAAAAGAAGUUAAAGUGCAGAUCCACCUCUGAAGUAGAUGGUGCAAUUAAACCCAAACGUUUAACGGACGUUAACGGUGUUAGAGGUCUGGGUUUAAUUGCACCAUUUUCUUGGACUAUGGGGGGGUGUUUGCGCCAAGGUCGAGAAUGGGGGGCUAAACGCUAUAAGGGCCUUUACUUUAGGGGUGGAUCUGCACUUUAACCCUUUAUUUUUUGAUGUUUGGCUUUUGUUUUACUUUUACUGGUUUUAUUGUUUUGUUUUUGGUUUUGGUUUGUGGGUCAGAGUCGGGGCUACUUCAGGGCGAUGGUUAGGCCGGAGUUCUGGAAGUAAUCUCACUUCCGCUCUUUCUCACUUUUGGGUUUUUUUGUUGCGUUUAGAUGAGUACUCUUUUUCCUCUUUAGGAUUUUGCCCUUGGGGUUUUUCCUAAAGAGGUUUUAACGAGGCUCAGGCCUUUGUCUGCUUUCUUGUGCUUUCAAGGGUUUUUAGAUUUUUCAUUUCUUUUUUCAAUAAAAUCGUAAUUUAAUAAUAAAACUUUUAAAGUUCAAUAAUUCAAGAUAUAUUUUGAGAAAUAAAAACUCGCCUUUACAGGACAAGUUUUUAGAUUAAAAAAAAAAAAAAAGGACAAUCACAUUUUGAUAAAGCAAUGCUAAUUCUUCUUAUUAAGUAAACUUACGAGAUAUUCUAAUUUUAUUAGGUCUCAAAAAUAUUAGCCUUUGUUAUCAAUUUUGUAAAGCUACUAAAUCCUAAGUCACUAGUUCGAAUUUGCAAAACUCAACUUGAUUAUAUAAAUCAAUUCAUCAAAAUACUUAUAUUAUAAAAGCAUAACUUAAUGUAUAGGCGUAAUUGACUUUGAUUAUGUCAAGUUUCAAACUUAAGUACAAUAUAAUAAGGUUCAAAAUAAUCUCAAAUAAUUGUAAUAAAAUUUGUCGAUAUCUUCAACCUAAACCUAAGCCCCACAAGGCCCUAUGUUAAUUUAAACAAAACCCAAGGGUAAAAUUAUUGUCUAAAAUAAAAUCAAGUUUAUAAAGGCCCAUUAUUUGAAACCCAACGUCUGACUCAUCUCUCUCCUCUUCUUUUCUUUCAUUUGAUUAUUUAUUUAUUUUUUCCAACAGAACCUCUCUCCCCAUGCCUGCCGCCGCCCUAACCAAAAUCGUCGGAUUCUACCUCCAUCUUUUUUCACUAAUUCUCUCUAUACCCACAAAAUCCCCAAAUUCUACAAAUCCCUAGCCCUCUCAUCUCUUUGGCCACUUGAUUUAGUGUGAGAGUGGGGAGCAGAUUGAUGAAAAGGGUUGUGUGUUGUUGAUCAGAAUGCCUAUUGUGUAGUGCUUGAGCAAAGCAAGAUGAGGGUUUUACUCUUACUGCACAACAAAAAUAUUGUUACUGCAAAAAUAUCAAAUUGUUAAAAAACCGUUGUCUGCUUCAAAUAAAAGGGCUUCUGCAAUUACUUCUAAAAAUUUGGCCCAGGAUACUAGUUUUAAAUUCAUUAUCUUAUGAAAUAAAGGCCCAAUUCUGAACUUAUAAGGGUAUGUUUACUUCGAUUCUAAAAUUUUCAUUCAAAAAUGAUGGAUAAGAAAAUAUGAGAAUUUUUUUUAAUCAUAUAUUUACUAUAGAUGAAAAGAUGAGAAAUGUUGAAAAAUAUUUUCGCACCCCUACUACAUGAUAAUAUUAUCCAACAUUGAAGAUAAAUAAGUGAAAACAAAAUUUAUUCAGACAUUAUUAAUAGAGUGGAAUUCGAAAAUUGCCAUUUUGGAAUAGUAAAAAUAAAAAUUGUACAUUAAGAUAAAAAAAAUUAAAAAUUAGUUAAACUUACAAUUUUUAUCCCUCACAUAAAAAUCUUAAAAAUUAUCCACUGAUUUUUUUUAUUGUGAAUUCGAGUCUUUGAAUUACAAUUCACAACCAAUAAUAUUCUAGUCGUGAAUUCGAGUUUUAAAACUUGAAUUCACAACUAGAAAUAGUGUUUGUUGUAAAUUCGAACUUUAAAGCUUGAAUUUACGACUAGUAAUAAUGUUGGUUGUGAAUUCAAGCUUUAAAACUUGAAUUCACAACCAUCACUAACUAUGCAGUUGUGAAUUCAAGUUUUAAAGCUUGAUUAUGAAUUCAAGCUUUAAAAAUCGAAUUCACAACCAACACUAUUACUAGUUAUGAAUUUGAACAGGUAGACAUAUCGAAAAUCACAAGGUCAUUAGCCUCAAAUGGAUUUUUCGCAACAAGAAGGAUGAGGAUGGCCAUGUGAUAAGAAACAAAGCCAAGGUAGUCGCCAAGGACUAUCAAGAAUAAGGAAUCGCGUAGGAUGAAACUUUCGCUCUUGUUGCUUGACUAUAAGCUAUCAGUCUGUUCUUAGCUUACGUCAUUCAAAAGAAAUUUAAAGUUUAUCAAGUGGAUGUGAAAUGUGUGUUUCUGAAUGGGUUACAUAGAAAAACCAUUAGGCUUUGAUAUCGGUGACAAGGUGUAAAAGCUAAAGAAACAUGAAUUUAGAACCAGCAAUAAUGUUGGUUAUGAAUUCGAGCUUUGGGCUUUAAAACUCGAAUUCACAAUCAAUACUAGCGAUUUAGUUGUGAAUUGAAUAACAUUAACAACACAAACUCGCUCCACAACAAUUGACACCAUACAACCUUAAAUAUUUGAUUAAAUCCGCAACAAUGUCUGCAAACUCGGCGUGGAGAAAUUGAGUUUGUUGCAGAUUCAUAAAAUGGACUGGGAGGUUCUCGAUCUAAGGAUUAAGAAGUGGUUUAGUCUGGUGCGCACUGCUGUGCAGAUGCUCUUCAACGGCGAGAGAGUUUCUCUGAGAUCAUGAAUUCGUCGCCUCAAAUUCCAUUACAAAAUCAUGCUUCACGAAAUUGCCAAGGAAUGCGCCAUGCUUCUUUUUCUCAUUUCCAGUAAAACGUGGUUCCCAACUACCAAUUUUCUCUCACUAUCAUACUUCUUUCUCAAUCUUAAAUUAUAUACAUAUGAAUACGCACACUCACAUAGAGAAUAUGCACUAAUUACUCAAUCAAUUGAUUGAUUGCAUUAGCCUAAAAUUGAAUUGAGUUCAUUACAUAUAGCGGUGAGGGUUCCAAACAGUGGAGUAUUUGUGGAAGGCGGCGGAGGGGUCGAACUAGAGGCAGAAUAAUUGUUGCUCCUUGUCGCCUUUCCCUUGUGAAUAAACAUUUGUGUUCAUGGGAGGUGGUGAUAGGGAGAUGUAAGAGAAGGGCGAUGCUAAGAGGAUGGGGACGACGAUUUGCCGGAAUGAGUGGCGGCGAUGGCAGGGGAGAUCAACGGUAGCAUUUCUCGUCGUCCGUUGCAAGAGACAAAAGAAAGAGAAACGGGGAGGGAAGUGUGUGUGUGUGAGAGAGAGAGAGAGCAUAAUCUCCACUUUUAAGGUUUUUUAUAGGGAAAUUUGCGUAAAAUACACUAACUAUGGAAAAAUUCCAUUUUUAACACCAACUUAGGAAAGUUCAAUAAAAUUCAUGAACUUAGAGGUUUGUCCAUUUUUGACACGUCAAUCUUUCUUUAAUUAUAAACCUACCCCUUCUUAAAACAAAAUAUCACAAAUACCCCCAAAUGUCUCUUUCUCCAUACAAAAUAAUCCUUAUGAGCUUCUUAAAAUUAUAAGGUCAAAAUCAAAACAAAUUAUUAGGCCCAACAUGCUUCCGUAUCACUUCAAAAUUAAUCUAAACAUAAACCAACUUUAUACCUUUAGUCGAAUGGUCUUCUUCGGGAGUUAGUUCCUGUUGCGUUUUACGGACCGUCUGCCCCAAGGCUUCGUCCAACCACGCGCUCGCAAGGGAUGGUUGCAACCUUCCUCCUUCACUAAGUUUCGAUGUAAAAUAUUUUGUUGGAAAAUAAAAGGAAAUUUUUUACUAAACCGGAAAGUUGAGCAAAACAAAGCGUUUAAAGAGGAAUUAUAAAAUAUUUAAUUUAUUUCAUAAUAUCUCCCUAAGGGAGGAGACAACUUGUUUAGCUACUCAUUAGUAGCUUAAUACUUGCGUACAUAUAAAAUUAAAAGAACUAAAACUUUAAAACCUUCACCGUCAUCCUCUUUGUCACAGCCCGCCCUAACUAUGGAUAGUUAGGCCGAGUGAUCCACGACUAGGGAUGGGGUUAAAGAAGAAGGGGAAGAAAAGGGGCGUCAUUUAUAGCCGUAAAACUUACUCAUCUUAAUAAAACUCGUCAUUUUUAUUCAUUAAUACUCAAUUGAAAACAGUCUAUGAAAGACUGCAUAAAAGUUAAUUAAUAUCAUUAAUCAAGUUAUACAUCAUAUGCAACCAUUCUCUUAAGACUCAAAGUAUGACAUAACAUACUAUAACAUCAACAACAUCUUGCAGCGGAAAGUAGCUAGACAUAUGUAUGAAGACAUAUUCUAGACAGGUUAACUAUUUAUUAACAACCCUGGAGACUCCGCUCAUUGCAGCACCAUCAUCACAUCAGCUCAACAUCUACCCAAUAACAACAUACUAAAAUUUCACGACGAUCCGACGUCGUUUCAAAAUAAAGUCGAGAAUCGACGUUUUUCGACGUCGACGAAAAUCGAAAAGAAAACCAUCAAAACGUAGGUAGAGAUCUUACCUACUUAGAUACGUGAUCGAAAAGAUGAUCGGCGCUCGUCUCAGUGCUCAAAUCGGAGGUCAAAAGCUCCGUCCAAGCUUAAAUGGAAAAUGGCGUGUGUAGUGUGUGUUUUAGGUGUUGUGUGUGUGAAUAUGUGAGUUGUGUGUGUGGUGUGGGCUGAUAUAGCGUGAGUUAGUGAGGGGAAAGGGGUUUUGGGAGGUUUGGGGGUGGUUAGGGGUAGGGUAGGUUAGAUAUUUAGGAUAUUAACCCGUUAGUCGUUAAAUAUCUCGUCUCGUCUCGUUUUAACAACUAACAACCCAUACUCUUCGUUACUCGCCCUCUCAACCUCUACUCACUUUCAUUACACUCGUAAUUCCAUAUAAAUAUAGAAAACGCAAGCUCGUUCUCGAAAUUCUGAUAAACGAGCUCGGUUCGUUUAUCGAGAAAUCCCGGUUUACUAUUCACUCGUCGUCCAAAAAUAAAAACUUUCAUUAUUGGACUCGUAUCGAAAAACUAAGAAUAUUUCUCGACGACGUGCACGUAAGAUUUUGAAAGUCGACAAAAAGACGAAAUAGCCGUAUUUUACUAUUCAUCGUCAAAAAGUCAAAAAUUUCAAAAAACGUCUUAACGGACUCAGAUUUCACUUCCGAGUUCACCGUUCUCAUUCAAAUAAUUAUCUAGAAUUAUUUGAAUACUCAAGCUCAAAUACGGAUAUAAAAUCCCACAUCAUUCUCACAUCAUCAAAAGAACAUCUCAACAUUUUUAAAAUAUAACAACAAAACUUCAUAUAACUCUUCAUCUCUUUACAAAGUAAAUCAAACAAGGGAUCUAUACCCUAAUUACUCAAACUUAAGCAAUUAAACACGUCAUCAAAAGCCCGGGUAUUACAUACCUUCCCCCUUAAAAUAAAUUUCGUCCCGAAAUUUGUACCUCUUGUAAAUGUUUCGGGUACUUCUCUCACAUCUUAUCCUCAAGCUCUCUUUCCACUUCUUUCUAACUAUCAUAUCUCCAUUGGACCUUAUCCAAUGCAAUCGACUUAUUACUCAAUUGCCGAAUUUUAUGAUCUAGCAUCAUCUGAGGUCUCUCUUCAUAACUCAAGUCUGGUUCUAAGAUCAUUUCUUCUUAGUAAACCACAUGGUUUGGGUCGAAAAUAUAUAUCCUCUCAAUUGUGACACGUGAAACACGUUAUGCACAUUUCCAAAGCUAGGUGGCAAAGCCAACCUAUACGCUAUUGGACCUAUCUUUUGCAAUAUCUCGUAAGGACUUAUAACUCUGGGUCUAAGCUGUCCUUUAACUCCAAAUCUAUUCAUCCCCUUUGAGGGUGAAACCUUCAAGAAAACUUUGUCUCUUAUCUCGAAACUUUGUCUCACAUCUUAUAGGUAAACUCAAUUAGUGGCAACACAUUCUCCCGAUUUACUCCUCUAUCAAGGAUAGUAGUUCCUAUAAUAUCUUCUAUCGCCUGCUAUGCUAAAAUUCAUCCUUGUACCCAACUCUUUCUGUAACUCAUCCAAAAACGUGAUGUAAAUUUUUUUUUUUUUCUCUUUCUGAGGUGAUCUACACCGGUACUCAAAGCAAUCUUAUAAUCUCACGAACGUACAAUUGUGCUAACUUAUCUGGUCCAUACGCGAUUAGGAUCGGUAUGAAAUGUGCAGAUUUUGUUAGUCGAUCUACAAUCACCCAAAUUGCUGUAUUUCCUCUUUGACUUUUGGGUAAAGCUGUCACAAAAUCCAUCGCUAUGUGAUCCCAUUUCCACUCGGGAAUCUCCAACGGUUUUAACUUCCCAUAGGGUCGUUGGUGUAAUGCUUUCACUUGCUGACAAGCUAAGCAUCGCUCUACAAACGAAGCUAUGUCUCAUUUCAUUCCGUCCCACAAAAAUCUAUUUUUUUACAACCUGAUACAUCUUUGUGCCUCCUGGGUGGGCGGUGUAAGGCGUGUUAUGAGUCUCACUCAUGAUCGUUAUUUUUUUUUUUUUUUUUUUUAACUCUUGAGAUCUCCUGCUCUUAUCCUUUCUCGUAACUUGUUCAUUGUCUCAUCUUUCCUUGUGCUUCAAUCACCAUUUUCCUCAAACUAGGCAUCGUCGCAACAAUACUUGCUAUCGUCCCUGGUGGUUUUAUCAUCUCUAUCCUCAUCUUGUCAAAGUCCUUUAUAAGCUCAUCCUCUCUCGUGAGAAUACAUCCUAACUUUGACGAGACCUUUCGGCUCAAUGCAUCGGCUACUACAUUGGCCUUGCCAGGGUGAUAGUUAAUGUCGCAGUUAACAUCCUUUACUAAUUCGAGCCAUCUCAUUUGCCUCAUGUUAAUAUCCUUAUGCUUGAAAAAGUAUUUCAAAGUUUUGUGGUCCGUGAAAAUCUCACAUCUAACUCCGUAGAGAUGAUGUCUCCAAAUUUUCAGGGCAUGCACAACGGCUGCAAGCUCUAAAUCAUGCGUUGGAUAAUUUAUCUCGUGGGGUCUAAGUUGUCGUGAUGCAUAGACUAUAACUCUUCCUUCUUGCAUCAAAACACAUCCUAGCCCAUUCUUUGACGCAUCUGUGUAGAUGGUAUACUCUUUAUCCAUUUCCGGGACUAGCAGCACUGGUGCUGUAGUCAAUUUCCUUUAAGCUCUUAAAAACUCUCUUUACACUCCUCUUUCCAAUUGUACUUAGCUUCUUUUCUCGGUCUUGCUAUCGUGGAAAAUCCUUCAAUAAACCUCUUCUAGUAUCCUGCUAAGCCUAAAAAGCUGCAAAUCUCGUUAGGCGUAGUUGGUGAUCUCCACUCAUGUACAGCUUGUACCUUGGCGGGGUCAACUUUAAUUCCUUCGGAUGAUACAAUAUGUCCUAGAAAAGUUACUUCGUUCAACCAAAACUCGCACUUGGUGAAUUUGGCAAAAAGCUUCUCAACUCUUAGGUUUCCAACAUCGUUCUCAAAUGUUUUGGCGCUCCUGCUCAUUCUUCGAAUAGAUGAGAAUAUCAUCUAUGAAAACUAGGACAAAUUUAUCCAGUUAUUGAUGAACACUCGAUUCAUGUGAUCCAUGAAAACUACUGGUGCCUUCUCAAACGAAUGGCAUAACUAUGAACUCAUAUGCUCAUACCUCAUUUGAAAAGCUGUCUUAGGUAUAUCCUUCUGUCAAAAUUUCAACUGGUGGUAAUCUGAUCUCAAGUCAACUUUCAAGAAAAAGCUCGCUCCUCGUAAUUGAUCAAACAAGUCAUCUAUCCUCGGUAAAGGAUAUUUGUUCUUGAGUGUCAAUUUAUUCAGCUCUCGAUAAUCUAUGCACAUUCUCAACGUGCCAUCCUUCUUUUUGACAAAAAGGACUGGUGCUCCCCACGGGAUACCUAGGUCUAAUAAAACCUAACUCGAGCAAUUCUUGUAGCUGAAUCUUCAGCUCUUGUAGCUCCUUAGGCGCCAUUCUAUAGGGUGCCUUCGACACUAGUGCUGAUCCAGGUUCUAGGUCGAUAGUGAACUCAACUGUCUUGUUGGUGGCAAUCCUGGUAAGACCUCGGGAAAUACAUCUCUAUAUUCCUUACCACUGCUACAUCCUCAAGUUUUUUUUUUUACUUGAUUCUCCUUCAUCAUUCAAGUAAACUAGGUAAGCUUGUGCUCCUUUCUUCUUUACCAAUUUCGACGCCUGAAGUGCCGAAAUGAUUGGAAUUCUCUUCUUUCUAUCAAUGUCGUGAAAACAUGUUGUUCUUCCCAGGUGGUUGGAAAGUUAUCUGUCUCUUCUUACAAUCAAUCGGGCAAAGUUCUCUGCUAACCAGUCCAUCCUUAGAAUAAUGUCUACGUUCCACAUAGGCAUUAAGUGCAAGGUUCUUGUUUUCAUCUUUAGUGAUCCUAACUCAAGCUCUAAGUUAGAAAUCAUGUGAGAAACUGUAGUAGCUCUUCCUACAGGAGUGAUUACUCUCAACUCGGGACUAGCUUGUUUUGGUUCGAGUUUGAAGGUAACAUGCUUCAACCAAUUAAAGAAUGCGAGGCUCCUGUAUUAAACAGGAUUCUAACUGGUGCAUCCAAUAACUUGCCCAUACUACCUUAAAGUCCUGCCUUAAACCAAGACUUAAAACUCAGACAUCUCUUCAUCAGUAUCCAUCUUCUGAUGAGCGAACGUGAUAGCUCACAGAAUUCUCAAUUAUACUCUACAACCGAUUUCUUUCCUUGCAUCAAACUUCGAUAAUCAGCCUCUCGCUGCUUACUGUACUCCUCGGUACAUACUUCUCAAGAGUAGUCUUCAAUUGUUCUCAAGUAUAGUUUACCAGUUGCUCAGGUGUUAAAGUCCUCUGACGUGCCUCUCACUAGUCUUAUACAUUAAAAGAAUCUACUAGGAUAACUCAAAAGUUGUAAGGGUUCAACCCUAGAACGACAUCAAAACAAAUUUUCAAAGACUCAAAUGAAUGACAGAGGUAAAUGAAGUAACUACCAGGUCGAACAAAAUGACCUAGAGUAAGAACCCAUCUGGCUUUUCAACCGAAAGUUGAAACACAUGGGUUUAUAAACCCAAAACACGUCUACUGAGAUUUGGAUCAUGCGGACUGGCCAGGUCCAACAUAACUAUCCCGAACUGAGAUUUGGAUCAUGCGGACUGAGAUUUGGGUUUAUAUUCCCCAGUCACACGGAAUAUACUAUCCCGAACUUGGAAAUUCUGUGUCUUCUAAACCCUCAACAUACUAUAGAUAACAAAACUUAAGUUCACACCAGCAAGCUAAAAGCUUAAACUCAGGGUCCUAUGUUCUAGACUCUUGUUUCGAAAGUUCAAUAUUUUUCGACUCUCCUAUCAUGUUGCGGUGGUGGUGGCGGAGUAUUAUCCCGCCUAUCCUUCACAUCACACUCUUGAUGACAUCUUUGAGGCAUUUUUGAAAUCACAAAAGGAAAACUCAACUCGACCAACGCUCUAAGCAUCCUCGAAACUCAAGUUCAAUUUACUAACUCAACUUUAAGGAAACCCUCACGGUCACCUUAACAUUCAUCUGUAAGGCAAUAAGCACUCACGAAAUGCUAACAAAAAGACCACUCUGGUCAACCUAAUAUAUCCAUCAGUAGAAUGCCUCUUUUUAGAGGGCUUACAUAAAGGGGUUAUUUAAACCCUACAAAAACCAUAGUAUCUAUCGUAAUGUCCCUUCUAAACUGACACCAUUAAUAGUACUAUGUCUCGGUCUGGACCUCCUACGGUAAUUGCUACCAGUUAACUCAUCUAGUCGCUACUUUAGCACACUAGGAACAUCCAUCUAUUUAACAUCAGUAGGGUACUAAAUUCGCAUGCUUAUCUAUCAUCAUGUCAAAAUCUCAAGUACCAGUAUCUCCUAAGUAAGUUAUAUACAUCGCAAUGUAAUUGCAACUAAUCAAAAACGAGGGUGUACCGCGCAUACUCUCAAGAUCAUCCUUAGCUCUAGCCUACAUCGACUUCUCUUCUCAUCCUCAUCAACUCUAGCCCUCCUCGGCUACUUCUCAUCCUCAUUAUCGUUUAUCAUUUUAUCAUCUUUGGUAACUGAUACUCAAGGAUCGACUCGAUAUCUACUACACUCUUCUAGAGUCCCUGGUAGAAAACAAGCAUCCGGUCAGUAGAUCCGCAUAGAAAAUCUGGGUAUCUGUAACAAAUCCCAUCUCCUGUGGGUCCAAUGCUCAAGACGACAUGUCCCAUCAUAUUGAGUGGCUUUCUUCCUUGCUCAAUCCUACCACUCGAUUGGUAGCACGGGGACUAGGUGCACGAUGCCAUCCAGUCUAGUAACAACCAUAAGGCUUUCAUCCUUUCAUAGUCUAUGAACAUGUGUUUGAAAAUCUGCUAGGGUAUCUCUGUACCACAUACUGUACGCUUCGUCCUCGUAUCCGAUCUUUCCUGAGUUCGAUCUCACAACAGUCCACUUUCGUGCAGUGCCAACAGUCCUGGCCAACCUAUAAGGAGAACUUAAAGGUGACUCUAGGAACUAACUCUACUUGGCUCCAGCAACAGAAAUAAACAAAACAUAACUUAGCAAAACUCCUAUUAAGUAGUACUGUUAUCUUAAAACUCAAGCUCAAAACAUCUAAAUUCUCAUCUCGUCCCGUCUUUACUUAGUAGGAAUCUCUCUAAACAAUGAUAUUAGAUCCCUUAAUCUAAAUCAUCGUGACUCAGUAAGACAAGUUAUAGGAUUUUCUCUGAAUGUCAUCUCCUAUACUUUGUUUAUGUUUUCUUAUGACUUGAGAUUUGCUUUUAUUAUGAAUAUGCUUGGCUAAAAUCUCUUAUCUUAGGGAUUAGAUUAGAUGGAUUUGUAAUGGAUUGAUUUCUUUGUUCAAUAUAUAUCUUGAUUGUGCUUAUUGUUAUCUUUUCAAGUCCUAGAUUUAUCUCUUGUAUGAUUGGUUGGCCACCUUUUGUGCAUUUCUAAUUUGUGAUUUGAAUCGGGAGAGGAUAAUUACAAUAGAUUAGGAGUUUGAUACAUAUCAUCUCAAUAAACCGGGAGGUUGAGAGUUGGGUGAGGGCUUGUUGAUUCUUUGUGCUCUUGGGAGUUAUAGGUUAGAAAUUGACCGGGGACGGCAAUUAUGACCCGUAAUCUACUGUUUUAGUCGUCCGGGAGGGGGCUAAAACUAGUGGGGAGAUCGCCCUAGAUAAGUAGGCCAUAUCAAGAUUUAAAUUGAUUUAGAUUGAAGUUCAUUACGAUCUAUCGAAAUCUAGUCCCUAGGAUAACUUUCAUUCAAGUCAUUCCCCAAUUUAUUCACUAAGUUUAUGUUAUUGUUAUUUACUUUUCUUGCUUUAUUUAGUUUUGUUUUAGUUAUCAACACCUCUUGAACUUUGGUUGUCUAAAUAGAUUAAAAACAACUUAUUAAUAGUGUAAAGAAGUUUAAAUUCACCAAUCCUUGUGGAAUACGACCUUGCUUCCCUUAUAUUGCAACUACACCGUAUACUUGCGGCGUGGUGAAAAUAAUAGCGAACAAGUUUUUGGCGCCGUUGCCGGGGAUUGGUUGAGUUUUUACUUUUGAUAUUGUGAAAAGUUGUUUUUAUCUAAUUUAGAUAUUGUUUUUAUGUUUGUUUAUUUAUUUGUUUUAUUUAUUUUUGUUAGUAGUAAAAUUGUCCACAACCGUAAAAGCGGCACCAAAAAUGGAUGAUGGAAGGAAUGAGUUGGUUGAGCAACUCCAACUACAAUUGGCGUUGAUGCAACUUAAGUUGCGUGUUUUGGAAGCCAAAAGAAAUUGUAGGCAACCAAUGAUCCAAAAAGCCUUCCAACCAACACCUUCCUAUGGUGAGUAUUAUGACAUGGGGUGCAAUGCCAUGGAGUGGCAAUCACCAUUGGAGUAUGAGGACCAUUUCAAUAGUUGGAAUUAUGAAAAUUCUUAUUCCACUCAAGAAGGCUUCCAAGGGGGAAAUCGAUACUAUCAAGAGGAGAAAUCGAAUUCGAAAGAUGAUCUCCUACAAUGCUUCUUAACUACACAAGCUUGGAUAGAAAAAAGUCUAGCAAAAUCGGAGGUUAUGCUAGAUGAGCAAAGGAGGUCUUUGGCUACCACUAUGGAAAAUCAAAAAGCGAAUUGAUGAUUUGUGCAUGGCCAUUAGCCUACGGAAUGGAACCUUGUAUGAGGAACCAAUGCCGAUGCUAAGUGAGAGCCUCAAGAAGUUGAAGAAGAGUAUAAAGAAGAUGAGGAUCAAUUCUCCAAACCCCUUGAAGUCGAGAGCCCAACUUUUCCAACGCAACCUCUACAAUUACCAAAAAGAUGAAGAUUUCACAAGUUUUAAAGAAUGCAAAGUCAAAAAUUUUGUCGAUCCUUACCUCGACAUGGGCGAUUCUAUGAAGGCUUGCUUCUUUCACUUUUAUUUAUCUUCAUCUUUUGAUUUUCACUUUGAUUUGUCUAAUAAGNNNNNNNNNNNNNNNNNNNNNNNNNNNNNNNNNNNNNNNNNNNNNNNNNNNNNNNNNNNNNNNNNNNNNNNNNNNNNNNNNNNNNNNNNNNNNNNNNNNNNNNNNNNNNNNNNNNNNNNNNNNNNNNNNNNNNNNNNNNNNNNNNNNNNNNNNNNNNNNNNNNNNNNNNNNNNNNNNNNNNNNNNNNNNNNNNNNNNNNNNNNNNNNNNNNNNNNNNNNNNNNNNNNNNNNNNNNNNNNNNNNNNNNNNNNNNNNNNNNNNNNNNNNNNNNNNNNNNNNNNNNNNNNNNNNNNNNNNNNNNNNNNNNNNNNNNNNNNNNNNNNNNNNNNNNNNNNNNNNNNNNNNNNNNNNNNNNNNNNNNNNNNNNNNNNNNNNNNNNNNNNNNNNNNNNNNNNNNNNNNNNNNNNNNNNNNNNNNNNNNNNNNNNNNNNNNNNNNNNNNNNNNNNNNNNNNNNNNNNNNNNNNNNNNNNNNNNNNNNNNNNNNNNNNNNNNNNNNNNNNNNNNNNNNNNNNNNNNNNNNNNNNNNNNNNNNNNNNNNNNNNNNNNNNNNNNNNNNNNNNNNNNNNNNNNNNNNNNNNNNNNNNNNNNNNNNNNNNNNNNNNNNNNNNNNNNNNNNNNNNNNNNNNNNNNNNNNNNNNNNNNNNNNNNNNNNNNNNNNNNNNNNNNNNNNNNNNNNNNNNNNNNNNNNNNNNNNNNNNNNNNNNNNNNNNNNNNNNNNNNNNNNNNNNNNNNNNNNNNNNNNNNNNNNNNNNNNNNNNNNNNNNNNNNNNNNNNNNNNNNNNNNNNNNNNNNNNNNNNNNNNNNNNNNNNNNNNNNNNNNNNNNNNNNNNNNNNNNNNNNNNNNNNNNNNNNNNNNNNNNNNNNNNNNNNNNNNNNNNNNNNNNNNNNNNNNNNNNNNNNNNNNNNNNNNNNNNNNNNNNNNNNNNNNNNNNNNNNNNNNNNNNNNNNNNNNNNNNNNNNNNNNNNNNNNNNNNNNNNNNNNNNNNNNNNNNNNNNNNNNNNNNNNNNNNNNNNNNNNNNNNNNNNNNNNNNNNNNNNNNNNNNNNNNNNNNNNNNNNNNNNNNNNNNNNNNNNNNNNNNNNNNNNNNNNNNNNNNNNNNNNNNNNNNNNNNNNNNNNNNNNNNNNNNNNNNNNNNNNNNNNNNNNNNNNNNNNNNNNNNNNNNNNNNNNNNNNNNNNNNNNNNNNNNNNNNNNNNNNNNNNCAACUACUAGAAGUAGAUCCUAGUCUCGUUUUAAACCCUGACAUGAUAGGAAUACUACGCAAGGCUAUACUCCAUGAAGGAUGUCCUUAUAAAGAAAUAAGUGAUCUAGUUGUCACUGAUAUGACACAAUGUACAUGUGGAGAGAAUCCUUUCAAAAACGUUUUAACGGACUCAGAUUUCACUUCCGAGUUCAUCGUUCUCAUUCAAAUAAUUAUCUCGAAUUAUUCAAAUACUCAAACUCAAAUACGGAUAUAAAAUCUCACAUCAUUCUCACAUCAUCGAAAGAACAUCUCAACAUCUUAAAAAAAAACAAAAACUUACAUAUAACUCCUCAUCUUACUUUAACAAAAGUAAAUCAAACAAGGGAUCUAAACCCUAAUUACUCAAACUCAAGAAAUUAAACACGUCAUCAAAAGCCCGGGUAUUACAAUAUUGAUUUAUCGUUAUUCUCAUUUCACACAAUUAAAUCUAAUAAAUAUCAACCAUAAAAUUAAAAUAUCUCACGUUUCAAAUUUAUUUUUAUUUAUCACCAAUUUUUGCUACUUUCACUUUCAUAAUUUGUGCAAACUACAUUUGAGAUGUAAACCCUCCUUCUUUUAAGAUGAGGGAAGUAAACCCCAUAUAAUAAUGGUAAACUUUUUAUUAUUAUUAAAAGGGAGCUUUAUUUAUAAUGUGAUAGUUGAAUAUGAUUUUAAGACUAUCAUCUGUGAGAGGUCUUGGUUCAAUCUCGCCUGCGUGCGGGUAGUUUUUCAGUUUUUUGUGGGUAGUGUUCCCACUUAUGUGUGGGUAGUGGUUCCGCCUGCGUGCAGUUGUUUUCUCACCUUUGUGUUAUUGUGUGGUGUAGAGGUCCCGCUUGCAUGCGAAUUGCUUAUUUGAUUAUAUACUAGAUGUCUCUUGUAAUUCUCAAAAAAAAAAAAAAAACUCAUUCAACCAUUAUUCCAUUUUCAAUAAACGAUCUAAUUUCCUUUUGGUUUAUCAAAGGUAAAAAAAAUUAUGAUAAGGGAGCUCCACAUAUAAGGAGUUAAUUGUGUUCAAAUUCGAGAUCUUUAUUUUCAAGAAUGUCUACAUUUACACUAUAUUAAAAAAGUAACUUCAAAUUUUAAAAUUAAAUGACAAUUUUGUAGUUAUAAUAAAAUUGAAGAUUUAUUUGUAAAUUAUAUUUUUUUCUUUUUAUUUCCUUUUUCGUAUAUUUUUGUUUUAUUUCUUUCAAAAAAUUAAAAAUUUGCCUAAUUUGAAUAAGGUUCCAAUAAGAUUAGAUGAAACAAAUGUCUUGUUAAUUUCAAAGCAAUUAAUUUUACAAAAUAAGCCCUAUUCUCAAGUUGCACAAGAAACAUGUGAAGAAGCAAGCUUAUUUACAAUCAACGAAAUCCACAACAAACUAUAAAUCUAACUUUCAUCCAAUAUUUGGAUUCAAAUGGAGCUCCUCAAGAUGUAGGUAUGCGGAGCUUGUUCUAGUAUAUCUGUAAAAAGUAUUUAAGUUUUAUUUUGCUUACCAAAUUGGUUGGCAUGUAUUAAUAUUAUACAUAACUAGUACCAUUAGUGAUUAAUUUACAGAAUAUAAGAUAAAACUUGUGAAUAAUUAGAUUUGGAAAUGAAGUAUGGAAGAGUAGAUUAAUGGAGUGAAAGUCGAAUACUUUAUAAAUUAUACGUAGAAAUAAAAUUUAGAAAAUUAGGGAGGUAAAGUUGAUAAUUACAUGGUUGAAAGAACCUCCUUGCACCUUGUUUGGAGGAAAAAAAAAGGUUGCACAUUCCGAGAGGCUUGUCCACCCGCAGGUAUGAGUAAUUUUAUUUAAAUAAAGUACUAUUGUUACACUAUUUGUUUCCCUUCUCGAAAUGAUUAAUUGACUGGGAAAUGGUAGACACAUAGGUAUGAUAACUGACUACAACCCUACAUCCCCAUCACCUCUUGUCUUUCUUUGCCGCUCUCAAUUCCACACCACCAAAUUGGAUACUAUUCCACUUACGCUAACUUCUCAUUUUACAAUUGUAGACCAUCUUUAACCAAUUUUCUAAUAUUCCACUCCAAAAUACUCCCUCUAUUUUUUUUAAGUGUCCCACAAUAAAAAUUACAUAUAUCAAAAAAGUUGGAGUAUUACCUUUAUGUUCAUAUUUAUUAUUUUCAAAGUGUAAUAAAUUUAUUCUCAAUUUUUGAAAUAGGACACUUAAAAAGGGGUAAAAUAGAAACUUUGUCACAUUUUUAUUCACAAAUUUUGAAAUAGGACACUUAAAAAAGAACAAUAAAUUUAUCUUAAUAAGACACUUAAAAAAAACGGAGGGAGUACUCCCUUGGUCCCAUCCAAGUUAAUGUGUAAUUUUUUUUACUGUGCCAACGAAGUUGAUGUGUUUCCUUUUUUUAAAUAAAUUAAAUCUACUUUUCCAUUUACUCUUUUUUUAUUUCAUUUUUUCAUUUACUUUUUCAUUUCAUUUUUUCACUAAAUAUUAAUUUCUUAAAUCUCGUGCUCAAAAGAAACGCCUCAUCUUCGCUGAAACGGAGGGAGUAACUUUUGCUAAACUUCAUUUUGCUUACUUAAAUUAAUAUUUAAGAAGUACCAACACUAUAAACUCAUCUCAAUAAAUAGAUGUGCUCUUUCCCCCAUUUUCACUCUAUAUUUUAUUAUAUAAAAAUGUCAAAAGCAUGGAUUUAUAUAUAUUAUUAGUGAUUAUUAUUAAGUAUUAAAGGUGAAUAAAAAUGUAUUUAAAUUACUAAAAAAAAGUGUCCAGAAUAUCAAGAAUACUAUGAUAUUUAAGUUUUUCAUAAUAAUAAUAAUGGUAAAAUGUUUUUAUAUUUUUAUAAAACAUAGAAAGAAACGGAGAAGGCCUCAGUUUAAUAAUUAUUAUUAUAUAUAGUUACCACGACUUGUUAAUGCUUCAAAAUCGAAAACAAAUAUAAGAAAUUUGACAAAAAAAUAUAUUUUUUGUGGAGAUAUAUGUAGGAGAUAAAACAUGUCGUCAACACCAACAUUAAAAGAUUUAUUUGUACUUAAUAAUAUUUUAAGUAAUUAUUUGAUAUCCACAUAAAACAUGUACUUUUCUAUAUAAAAAUGACCUCCAAAUAUAGAGAGUUUUUUUUUUUAGGAAAAAAGUAAGCUCAACAUGCACAAUAUCCGUCAAUCAGGUUGGAAAGCUCGAUCUCCAGAUUAUUACACCAUUAGAUGAAAUAGCAAAAUUUGCCAAAACAUGGGCAGCCCUAUUGGCCUCUCGGCGAAUAUGACGGAAAUCAAGCACUAUCUUCUCCUUAGCAUGUACAAAUACAUCAUAAAACUCAUCACAGAGAGAGUCCAUAUAGGCAUACCCUUUGUCUUCUCGCUAAGAACGUGAAUCGCUACUCGCUAGCAUCAACUUAAUUUCAAUAAUUCUUAGUCAACUUAUAUUAAAUAGACAAAAGUACUUAUACUCAAUUUUACAUCACAAUUUUAUCUCUCUUAUCUCCUAAUCUCAUCGUGUUUCUUCUCUCUCUCUCUCUUCUUUUAUUCAAACGGAAUUAUCUCUAGAUUAUUUUCUCUCCCUCUUAGUUAUUUUCUCUGGCAGCAAUAUAGGUAAUUUUCUCCCUCUACAUUUAUAUUUUUUCGUCAUCUUCUCAAUUUAAAUCUGGCGACGUGGUUCUGGUGAUGUGGGUUCCUCUAUUAUUUUCUACGGAAAAUACUUUUCUCGUCAUCUUCCACAUUCAAAUACUUGUCAAGCAGUCAUUUUUUGUAUUUUCCUAUUAAAAUACUUAUUUUUUCGUGAUAUUUCAGCCAACUAUAUUUUGAAUACAUACUUUUUAAUUGUAUUCUAAAUCUAGUUCGAACAAGGGUUAUUUGUACUAGUUGUGGUACGUAUCAUCCUUGCUUGCCAUUCGAACAUGCGCUCAGCACGAAUACUACAAAAGAACUUAUUUGUACCAUUCGUGCCAAACAUUGGCGUGCUAAAUCUCGGAACGAAUGACAUGCAUUGAGUUUAUUCGAAUCAUUCGCACCAGCACUUGGCACGAAUGGUUCAAAAGGACCUAUAUGUACCAUUCAUUCCAAGAUUUGUCGUGCCAACACUUGGCAUGAAUGGUACGAAAGAACACAUCCAUACCAUUCAUCCAAAAAUAUGGCGCAAUAAGUUCCAAAAAAAAUAAAAUAAACAAUAACAUUGCAGUUUGUUCCAAUAAAUUCAACUAUAAUUCAUGAACAAAAUUCGAAUAAAAUAUACAAAAUAAUACGAAAUCUCACUGAUCUUAGUUAGAACUAACUAAAUGUCUAAAUCAAAUCUUCAUUUUCUAUGUAAGCGUUGCCCAUCAGCAUCGGUUGAUUUUGGAGAGGUGCACGAUAUUUUUGUCGGGGCGUCGAUGGUGGUGAAUCAAAUAACAAGAUGACUGGAAAUUGUUUUCUUCUUCACCCCAAGGAACGUCAGAUUUCUUAAAAUAUUGUUAUUAUCUUCUUAACUCGAUGGAUUCUUCGCAUGUGUAGGUUGAACCAUUCGUGCCAAUAUCUAUUGUAUUAACACAUAGCACGAAUGGUACGUACGAAUGGGUGAUGCGUACUAAUUCGUGUGAAAAAAAUGGCAGUUUGUUCCAACUACAGUUCAUGAACAAAAUCGAAUCAAAUGAGCAAAAUAAGAUGAAAUCUCAAAAAUCUCAGUAAGAUCUAAUUAAAUGCCUGAACUAACUCUUCAUUUUUUUUAGUAGAUCGGGAACUAGAUCUCACAGAUCUCGAUCAGAUAUACAGAUUUUUGAUACAAAGAAUGGAGUCGACAACGCAGCGGUGAUGGCAGACGAUGGAGCUCACAGAUGUUAUUUUUUGUUGGGUUAAAUGGAAGCGUCAAUCAUCGGCGACGGUGAAUCAGAGAAGAGGAUGUCUUGGCGCAGGUAAUGGCGACAAUGUUGCCAAAUUUUUAGAGAGCAUCAACAACUUUCAGUGAGAAAAAAAAGAAGAUCAAUAGAGAGAAACAUCUGAAUGAAAGAGAGAGAUUGAGUUGCAGAAGAGUGUGCGUAAUUUGUAUGCAUUACUUUAACCACACUUUGUAUGCAUUACUUUAAAGGUAAAACUUUUGUCCAAAGUAUUGAAAUUUAAUUAAAUCUUUUACAAAUUAAACUUAUGACUAAUUAUUAAUUUUCACCAUCUAUAAUACCUACUAUAAAUUUCACCUCAAAUAUAUAUGAUAUAGAUAAGGUGGAAUACAUAAGUUAUUAUACAUAUACAUGUGUCUCGUAACUAGGCAUGGGAAUCGGGUCGGGUUCGGGUACCCUACCCGAAAAAAUCGGGUACCCGAACCCGAAUAACACCGAAAAUCACUACUCGACCCCGACCCCAAAAAAAAAUCGGGUACCCUAAUACCUGACUCGGGUACCCGAGUCGGGUAUUCAGGUACGCUAAAUUACCCGGUCAAAAUCGCAUUUUUCAAGUUAAACUGUGAAAAUCGGGUAUUUCGGGUAUUAGGGUACCCGAAUUACCCAAUUUUGGCCUAAUCGGGUACUACUACUAUAUAUAUAUAUAUAUAUAUAUAUAUAUAUAUAUAUAAAAAUCGAAAAUAUAGCCCCCCUUAUUUUCAAUCGGGUAUUCGGGGUAUACCCGAUACCCGAUUUUCAGUCGCUCAAACUACCCGAUACCGAGCCCGACACCGAUUUUUUCGGGUAUUGGGUACCCGAUACCCGAUUUUUUUGGGUCGGGUAAUCGGGUACCCGAUACCCGAACCCUAUCUUCCCACCCCUACUCGUAACAAUAUAACUUGGAAUGAUCUACAUUUAAUAAUAAAAAAUAAAAAAAUAAAACUUGGAAUGAUCUAUAGCUAGUUUGUUUCUAGGGAUGACCAUGGAUCCUGGACCUUGUAAAAAAUGGACCCGAUGGAUCUGGACCGGAUUUGAGUUAUUCCCAUAAUUUUUGAAUCUGGAUCUGGAGCAAAAGUAAUGUGACCCAAAUUCGGUCCAAAUCCGACCCGCAGAUCCAGUUAUUAUAAAAAUAUAUACUCCCUCCGUCCGCCAAAAUUGGAACACUUUUACUAUAUCGGGCGUCCGCAAAGAGUAUACCACUUUUCUUUUAUAGAAAUGGUCUCACCAUCCACUUUAAUCUUCUAUCCUUACAAACUCUUUAUUUACAAAAAAAUCACUCAAAAUUCAAUCUCAACCACACAUCUCAUAAAGUGGUGGGACCCUUUCUCCACUACAUCAAAAUCAUCACCAAUUUUAUUAAAUCCCGUAUCCAGCCAAAAUGUUCCACUUUUGGCGGACGGAGGGAGUAUAAUUUUAUUUUAUUUUUAUCUAACUCUAAAUAUUUAUGCCUAAUCCAUACAUCUCUUUUCUUAUUUAUAAUAGGAGUAUAAUACAGUUAAAGAUAAUAUUUUACAUUUAUCUUAAUUUAAAUUUCAGUUGUGAUUAUAAUACCUUUUAUUUGUAUUGAUAAUUUUUUUUUUCAAUGUAAAAUAGAAGACACAUUCUUCCACUGUUACUUAAUAUUGUGAUGAAGUUAGAGAUAAAAUUUAUUUUAAUGAUACCAUAAAUAAUUUUCAUCUAAUUUGUACAGAUAUAAUUAAAAUAAGUGUGCACCUCAUUAUUCUACUACUAAAAUGUUAUUUAGUACUCCCUCCGUCCCAUUAGUAGUGUUCCAUUUCUUUUGGGCACGGAAUUAAGGAGUGUGUAGAAAGUAGAUAAAGUGGGUUGGUAGAAAUUAUUUAAAUAUUAGGUAUAGAGAGAGAGAGAAUAUUGUCAUACAGGGAAUGAGACACUACUAAUGGGAUAAUCCAAAAAGGAAAGUGAGACACUACUAAUGGGACCGAGGGAGUACUUGAUUAUUAUAUUCUUAUUUAUUUUGAAUUUUUAUAAUAUUUUCAUGGAUUAUGAUUUAAUUAUUUAUUUUUGAAUAAUUGUUGAAACAAAAAUUAUGAUUUUAUUUUUGGUUAAUUUAAGAUUUAUAAAUUUAUUUUAAAAGAGAAAAAAAAUAUAUGGAUCCGAGUCUGGACACGAUACCCUGUGGAUUUUAUUGAUAUGAACCUGAAUCUUAUUUUUUAGAGCCAAUGAAUUUGAACCAAAUCUAAAUCUAAGUAAGAAAAUUCGAAUUUGAAUCUGAACCAAACAGGAUUCGAUCCAAAUUAAGCUCAUCGCCAUCUCUAAUUGCUUCCAAUGACUAUAUCUAGUUUGCGAAGCAAGUGAUUUAUGAUCGAAGAAUAAAUAUAUUCUAAAAUAAAUACGUCACAUAAAAUUUACAUAACUCAUCAAUUUACUUAGGAGGGGUAUAUUCAAUUAAGAAUUUUAAAAAAUUUGACAGACUUUUUAUAAUAUGUGGAUUAUGUUAAUUCCAUGAAUUGUCUUAAUUUUAUGUAGAGUUUAACAAAUUCUAUUAAAUUUAUUUAUCUCUAUUUUCAUAGACUUUAUAAGUCUAUAGAAAUAUCUAUAAGAAAAACAUUAAACACGUUGCAUAAAACAUUAAACAAGAAUAAAAUUUUACCUUAUGAUUCCUGCUUCGAAAAUUGGCAUAAUGUGAAAGAUUAUACACACACUUGUAUCAGAAAGAUAUUAAGAUUCCUUAUGAGUCAUGCUUCUAAAAAUUGGCAUAAAAUGAAAAUUUAUUAUUUUCAAAAGACAUUAUAGCUAAGCAUUUAUUGCAACCUAGAGCUAAGCUUAUGUUUGAUGAGAUUAUCUCAAAAAAGAUGGACUCAAUGACUGCCUGGUAAGUUGGGCUUUUCCCGGUUCGCUCACUGUUACUAGGGGAAUCCUUGUAAGUUUCUUUUCCUCCGCUUAUUGAUAUGCUUAAACUCAAGGGGUAGAUGAUACGGGAUCUACAUUUCGUGAUGAAGAUGGUGCGACUUUUCUCUCUAGGGUUACUCUCCUUUGCUAUCGGAUCAGUCGUUCCGAAACUUCUCCGGCAGCCUCCAUCCAUCGUCCGGUACUGGUUUUUUUCGAUUCGGCGAUGGCAUCUGCAGCGUUCCCAAAAUUCUCAAAUAAUUUCGAUCCUCCUCUAUUGUUUCAGGCUGCGUCUUCAACUAUUCACAAGAAGCCCUCUUCAUCUGCGAUGUUUUGGUCUCUUGCUGCCGACGAUAUGACCGGCGCGUUGUUCCCCGAGAUAUCUGUGGCUGCGCAUGCUUCUAGGGUUCCGACGCAUGAUACUGAUCUGCUUCAGCCGCUGCUAACUUCUGCAACUAGGGUUUCCGCUUCUCUUUUACUUUCGAUCAAUCAGCAGGUGGUUGGUCCUAUUGCCGGUGCUCUGUCCUCUUCUGUCGAAAUCGUGGAUGCUUUGUUCAUCUCUGGCCGAUAGUUCUAACGACCCAAUCCAGCCAUGAGCAGCCAAUUCAGUCCAGUUGCCGCCUUUUUUCGCUAACCCUACUUCUAGGGUUGAUGGGGCACACCAGCUGAUAUUCUUAGGGUUCCUGGGUUCCAGCCAUCGUUGGCUGUUCCUCACGCUAACGUUCAGGAUGUUGCCUCUUCUACCUUGCUUUCAGUCGGGGGUUCUUCAGGGUCUCAGUUGCUGCAGUCGGGUGUUGGGGUUCAAUUUUUGGAUGUUGCUCAAAGUCAGGUUCGGGGGCCGAAAGUUGUUAGCUCCCCAAUCAGGCCCUGCUCUAACUCCAUUGGCAUUCUUUUCCUAAAAACGGCAAAUAUGCUGCCGUUGGUCUCGAGUGUUCAGCAUGUUCUUUCGCCAUAUGGUCCUCCAUCGCCGUCUUAUACGACCAAAUCCUUCGUGGAUACUCUCAAAACGAAGGUUGGGCAUCCUGAUGAUGUUCCGGCGCAUGAUUUCGCCGUCUUAAAGCCUACAAUGGAGGAUGAUAGACCUUGUCUCACCUUAUCUUCGGCCUUUCGUCAACGAUAAGUUCAGUCUUUUCAACACACUAUUCAUGCUCGUCUUUUUCUACGCAAGGGUGAUACGCCGAGGUUUGCGGCUGACCUUUACACGGAGAUUUCGGGCUUUGGAAACCCUCGUUACCCUGGGAGGUUAUCCCUCUUGGCAAAGGUUUUUUUAUGUUGAAGUUCUCCUCUCAUGAGGAUUAUGCGGUUGCUUUCUCUAAAGCUUACUGGCGCAUUCGCACCGGUAUUAUUCAUCUCCAAUCUUGGGCUCAUAACUUCAAUCCCCAUAAGGCUGCAUCCUCUAUGGUUCAGGUAUAGCUUCGUAUCUUCAAUCUCCCGCAUGAAUUUUGGCAUCCUGAGAUUCUUUCUGGCAUUGUUAGGCAUGUGGGUACUCCUAUUAUCAUUGAUUGUAUGUCUGCUAGAGCCUCUAUCAAUUAUUUUGCGUAGGUUCUUGUUGAGAUGAAUGUGACUUCUGAGAUUCUUGAGUUUUUAGAUGUGAAGUGUGAUGAUGAUUUAUGUGAAAUUGAGUUUGGAUAUGAGAAUUUGCCAUAUUUUUGUUGUAUUUGCUCUGUGGUUGGCCAUGCUAAUGACGACUACAGGAAACUUAGUUCUGAGACGGAUCCUACGUCUCCGAUCAAACACAACGGGCAUGAUGUUUAGAAAUUAUGUGGUCAUGUCUAGUGGCCCAAAUCCGCUGAGGCUCGGACCUCUACGGUUGAUGGCAGUUUGAAUGAUUCUCAUGAUUUGAUAGUAGCUUCGACUGAGGCUGGGGUGGUUGGUGUUUCGACCUCUAACUCUAUUGCUUUGCUUGAGGGUGGAGAGUUCUUGGAAGUUGAUACUAGGAAGGGGCCGGAGGACAUGGAUAUUGUCACACCUAAACAGCCACAUCAUUUCUCUAGUUUUGCGGUUUCAAAGUUGGGUCGGGAUUUGAUUACGGUGGUCGACAACCCCGUCAUUGGUGUGCGUUUUAAGAAUUCUGUGACACCUUCAGCUGACACCUAUUCGAGUGGGAAGCCUGGUAUGCCUCGGUCUCUCCCACGAGAGGAGAGGUUAAUAGACAGGAACCUAUUGCAGGCGUUCUAUCCUCUUAACCUCAAUGCCAAAUGGGUCCGAACUCACCUCAUCCCAAAAAGCUGGCAGAUCUUCGUCCUCCUUUACCUCAGGGCCGGGCAGGGGCGGGAAGAAUAAUAAUAUGACACGGGGCUGAACAGAUUCAGUUAUGUCUCCUUCAGGAACUCUCCCACUACAGGGGGUGUUACCAUUGACCCACCCAAGCAGAUCGGAUGAGGGAAGAAUUGAGCCCCGUCGCGUCUCUUCCAGUUCUCCGGUUGAAUUCUUGGAUAAAGUUUUUGUUGCUCAUUCUGUGGGUGUUGUUAUUCAUGGAUUCAUUGAUUCUUCCUCCUCUCGCGCCUCUAAGAAUAUGUCUGGGGUGGCUAAUCGGAAAUGAGGAGAUAUGGAUGAUGAUGAUGUUGAUCCUUUUCGAGAGGAUGACCUUUUUCACAAUUAUCAAUGAAUGUGCUUUCUUGGAAUAGUAGAGGCAUGAACAACAAUGCAAUGCCUUUUCUUUGUCAUUACUGCAGCACUUACCAGUCGAGUAUUCUUGGAAUUCUGGAUCCCAAGUCUCGGUUUUCUGGCAUUCCAAGUUCCUAUUAGCGUUCUUUAAGUCUUAUUCCGGUUCACUAGAAUGAUCGUAGUCGGCGGUCUUCUAACAUUUAGGUUUUCACUGAUCAUUUGUUAGCUCAUGUUGUGGUUUUCUCUUCAGAUCAGGUUGUUAUUAUUCGGUGUGAUAUUAUGGGGCUCUCCACUACCCUGGCCUUUACUCAUGCGUCUUGCAGUUAUAUUAAGCGCCGUCAGCUGUGGCAGGAUGUUGAGCCUUUUAUUGAUGGCCCUUUUCUUAUGAUCGGGGAUUUUAACUCGAUUCUAGGUGCUCAUGAACAUCGUGGACGUCGUGUUCCUGCCUCGUCCCCCUGUAGUGAAUUCAGGGCUUUCAUUGAGGAUCAUGAUCUUAUUCAGCCUGAGUCCACUGGCCCGUUUUUCACUUGGACAGACCGUCGGCAUUUUCCUUCCCCGGUGGAGUCUAUUCUAGAUAGAGCUCUGUUCUUCCAGGAGUUCUCCGAUAUUUGGCAUUCUUCCUCUGUUCUGGUUCUCCCCAAUUAGAAUCGGAUCAUUCUCCUAUUCUUUUGAGAUGUCAGGAUUAUGUUAUUAUCCCUACUCACCGUCGGUUUCAUUUUCUCAACAUGUGGUGCACUCACGAGGGGUUUUCUGGAUCAGGUCCAGGCUUCUUGGGCUCUUCCGGUUGAUGUGCUUUGUCUUAUGGUUCGUGUGAUGAGGAAGUUGAAGCGCCUUCGGCCGAUUUUAAAAGCUUGGAAUUUGGAUGCUUUUGGGAUUUACAACACGGCUUUAGCUGAUCUUCAGCAGGAUAUGAGUGCGCUUUAGGAGGGGAUUGAUGAACAUGGUUACACUACUGAUCUUUUCGACCAAGAGGUAUAGUUGCAAGCCCGGAUUGGCACGCUCUUGAUGCGCAAGUCUGAGCAUCUUAGGCAGUAGAGCAGCGUUUCCUGGCUUUCAGAUGGCAAGAGGAAUACCAGGUUCUUUCACUCCAUGGUGAAGUGGCGCCACUUCAGUCAGGCCAUCAAAAGUCUAAGCAUUGAUGGGGUUAUUUCUGAGGACACGGCUACUAUGGCUGCGCAUGUGGUGGAUUUUUAUGAGACUCACUUUUCAGAGCCGAAUUCUGAUGCGGUGGACCGUUCUUGGAUUUUGAACUACAUUCCGGUUUCUAUUUUUGCUGCUCAUUCUGAGAUGUUCAUUGCCUCUCCUUCGGCGAACGAUAUUCGCGCUGUGAUUUUUUCUAUGGAUAAAGAUAGUGCGCCUGGUCCGGAUGGUUUUAAUGGUGCUUUCUUUCAGCAUUCUUAGGAUGUGGUGGGGGAGGAUGUUGUGGCGGUGGUUCGCCGUUCCUUUUCUCAUGGGUACCUCUCCAGUGGCCUCAAUUCGAAUCUUCUUUGUUUACUCCCUAAGAAGAUAAAUACGGUACUCAUCACUGAUUAUAGGCCCAUCGUGUUGGGUGACACACACCCGUCGUGCGGUGCGGACAAAAUACCUGUGUAUGCCCAGUACAGACAAUACACGCUCCUACUUCUCACAAUAAGAACUUAGCCUUAGCGGUAAGUGUAGGGUCGAAUCCACAGGGAGUGAGGAACCACUUUGUUCUCCUACGACAAACUGAGGUGUCACAAUUCUCAAUCUGUAUACUCUGCACAAGAAAUAAACAAGAUCAAUAAUAACAAAGGGGCGAGGUUAUUCGGUUAGGUCAUAACUGUUGUUAACAUUCGUUUCGGUCAUAGGCAUACUGAUGAUCCGUCUAUAAUCCAUACAAGCCCGAGGCGUGGCCCAAAGACAUUGGGGCGUUUCAAGGGGUUAUACUUCACAUAUAGGAUGGUUGAUCUCAUUGUGGUCACUUGGUCCGAAGGUCACACAAUCCCCGGUCACAAGGCAAUGCUUCACUCCUCCUUAGAUAGUAGCCAUACCCGUUACUCACCAAGCAUGGCCCUCAUCAACCUUCUCUCCCGAGGUCCCCAACUCCACGCUUUUAGUGACACAUGCCUCCUGGACUCAACUAUUUCCGGCUUUGUCAGCCGACCAGUCAUAGACAUGCUACGGCGCCGAGAUUGCUUUCCUCGUUCGAUAACCAUGGCUUUAUGCCUCGUCACAGUUGAUGGAUAGUCUCUAGAGAAGCCCAAGGCUGAAGAAGGGCAGUGUAUCCCAUCAACCCUUUCCCCACCUUCUGGAUCUACAACGCCUUUUGUUGACGCUGUUCAGCUACUCGGUCUUGGGCAUACCGAUUGUUGUACCUUGGUAUACCCUGGCCUUUGCCUGACAUGGGCAGCGUUUUACCGAACGGAGAUCACCCGUUAGACCCCUACUGCCCAUGGUUUCGAACAGAUCCUUCCGGAACCACGAGAUUCAACCGAAAGAACAAGUGCCUCACGAAUGUUUACAUGUUAACAACAAUUAUUUCCACCCCUAAAACCUCACCAAGGGAAUUACUCACACAUAACGCAAUUCAUAAAUACAAAAGGGAUUAAACACAUCAAAGAACGAAAAGAAAUGCUGAAAUAGAUAAAUAGUACCUAGGCUUCAAGCCUUCGAACUUGUUCAAAAGUAGAAACACAACGGGAAAAUGGAAAAGCACGAAAAUGUAAUUGUUUUGGAUGCCACACACGGCGAACUUAAUUGAAUACUAAAAGUAAAAACAAGAGUUUCAAGGUGCCAAGAGCCUCUUCACGCUGCACACCAUUAGUCUUUUAUACUGCCGGAGGGUAAAGGCCUAACCCUAGCUGCGCCGGUUCCAAAUCUUCGCCGGGAUCUUCUUUCCUUAAUUAGCUCGAUUUGAUUGAUCCUGAUUGAAGAUGGCGUCCAGCUGCAAGCUUAGUCAACCUUUCCCAUUCCCUCGAUCCUUCCAGUUUCUUCUCCCACCUUCUACUUGUUUCUUCGAGAUCUCCGAGAUUGACCUUCCUUUUAUGGCUCUGGCUGUCUGCUUCUCAUGGUAACGAUCAGACGGAUUGCUCUCUUUGGUGUGACUUAUACCAGGUGGGUUGCUCCAGGUUCCCAUGCCCCAAGUUGAAUUGGAGAGGUACUUGUUGGCCGAAGCUCCAUGCUGGUAAACAUGACUUAGCAAUCCAGGCUCGGUAAUGCCCAUUCUGACCGCAUUUCUUCCGUUUCCGCUCUACUGACCUUCCUUCCUUCACAACUUCAUUUUUCCCCCUGACAGACCUGUACCGACACAAAUAAAGGGAAAAAUAGGGCCAAAUGGCCCAAAAGUCGAAGACGCAUCAUUGGGCAACUUCUUUUUCAAGAUCAUCACCAAGAUUCUGGCCUCUAGGUUGAAUGUGGCGGCGGCUGAGAUUGUGUCGACUAUUCAGUUUGGGUUUAUUUCUGGCCGGUCUAUUCAAGAGUGCAUUCUUCUGGCCUCUGAAGGGGUCAACUGCAUGGAGCGUUCGUUGCAGGGCCAGAACUUGGCUCUUAAGGUUGAUAUCAAGAAGGUGUUUGAUACUCUUAGCUGGGACUUUGUUGAUACUGUUUUGGAAUGUUUUGGUUUUCCUCAGACUUUUCGGCAGUGGAUCAGAGUCAUCUUUAUGUCGGCUUGGAUCUCUGUCCUCUUUAACGGGGAGCAGCACGGUUAUUUUGGUUGCUCACGGGGAGUUUGCCAGGGCGACCCCUUGUUGCCGGUUCUUUUUGGUUUGGCAGAAGAGGUGUUGAACCGCCUUCUUUUGGAGGGGCGGACAUGGGUUAGAUUGCUCGGAUGAAAAUGUCUUGAGCUUUGCUAUUUUCCUCCCAUUUGCUUUAAGCAGACGAUGUUCUA